rnacentral:lncRNA from 1 species
GCCCAAAUGGUAUCCUGACAAUAUAAGCACCACUGCUUUCACCCAUGUCAUCCCCAAGAUUCUCUGAAUUUCUUGGACUCAGCAUCUCUGUAGGUUCCCCAUAACUCCAAUCAACAUCAGGUGCAGAAAUCUGCCUUGUCAGCAGAUCCACUCUAUAUACUCCAGGUGUUUCACCUAACGCCCUAGCAAGCUCUACAACAUAUUUGACCUGCAGGUUAUGGAACCAGUUAGUUGAACUCAACCAUCAAUGGCAUAUAGACCAACCUGUAAGUAUUACUCCCUCCUAUCCAUCUUAGUUGUCGCUGAAAUGGAUGUAUCUAGACGUAUUUCAGUGCUAGAUACAUCCGUUUCAGCGACAACUAAUUUGGAUCGGAGGGAGUACGUAGCAACUAGCAACAAGAUAAACAACAAGCUAACCAACCAGGAAUGUAAGUACAGAUAUGAAGCUAACAUCAAGGACGCAAACAUGAAAAUGAGGGAGACGCAAGAAGUACCUGGCCACCUGUAUCUGAAUCACGCCCAAGCUCCAUAUUCUCACCACGUAUAAGACCAUGAAUGCUGCACAAAGACAGAAGAUGUCAAAAUAAAAUCAUCCAUGUAAACAAUGUUCAUGUACUUCAAAAAAAUUUAAUAGCGCCUCUUCCUUGGGCUACUAACAUUAUGAAAACCUAAAAUCAAGUCCAAGGGGCCCCAUGAUGAGGACGCGCGCAUGUUCCAUACAAACGGAGGUGACUUCACUCCUCUUUGAGCUCCCUGUGCAUUUGGAUGAGACUUGGCUACUACCCCAAUCCAGAACCCUAUGCAUGCUUAGGUACGAAGGCAAGGACUAUGAAUGAGACUUGGCUACUAUCUCAAUCCAGCAUGUAGUGGAUAUACUUUGUGCACAUUGGCAGAACCAGGUCCAUAGGUAGACACAACAAAAUUGCAAGGCCCACGUACAUCUAAACCAUUAAAAUUUCAUGGAAAAACCAUGACCUCUGCAUAGUGGGUGUAUUCAUAUCCACUAGAUACCACCUACUCUUUCACAAAUCGCUCUUUUGUGGAUUGGAGCUCCACAGUAUUUGGAGCAAUCAGGUAACUAUGUUUAAACAGCCAUAAACUCAUAAUGCAUUGAACUGUCACUCUGAUCAUUCCUACUUCACCAAAAGGUAUCUAUUUGAAACCGCUAUAACUGAACUUUCUAAAAGCAAACACAUAGGGUGAGACCAAUAUGAUCCCUAGAACAAAAUUAGAGCCAUACCUUACUAGCACUAUGUACAGUUUUUUAUCUUUGUGCUGAUUUGCCCAAACAUCAAUAGCAUCAGUUGAACCUAUCCUUGGCAUGUGUCCCCUUGUACUCUCAGCGUGAAUAGAUGAUUCAUUAAUAUGUUCUCCUUUUUCUCCGUCAGAUAGGUCCUCAGACAAAUCAGCAGCAGCAUCUCGACGGGCCUUCUCACGCUCAAGACGUUUCUUCGAUGAGCGGGAGGCUUCCUCGCCUUCAAUCUGUAUUAAAUAAUUCAAGAUGGAAAAUAUUAAACAUCGUGAUGUAAAACUGAAAUGUUGGCGGAAACAUGUGCUCAUGUUGAUGUAUACUUGGGGAAUGAGGAGUGUUCAAAUCAGUUUUUGUAUUUACUCCUUUUACUAAAAUUCAAGAAGCUACCAGGGUAAAAACUCCUUCCAUGAUUAGUGUAUAAGUAAAUAUGAUAUCAUAAAUGGCAUGAGAGAUAGUAUAGUCACUUGGGGGCUCAGAACAAUUGAGAUGAUUGGUUCAAGAAAUGUGACCAGUAAAAAAAACUCCCAUCUAACCAGAAGGAAUAUUGUGUGUGCACCUGUGAUAAGUGACCUUUGGUGAUUAUAUUAGAAGUCUUAGGAGAACAUGAUUACUAGCUAAAGCAGUUAAUUAUUUCACUGAACACAAGAGCCAAGUGAAAGAACAACAUUAUUCUCAAGACUGAAGGAGCAUCAAAACCACAAAGGUCAAGCAACAUAUAUGUGUAAGGCAAUUGACUGACCAUCAUGAGUUACAUCAGAAGACAUAGUAACAAAAUCAUUAGUUGAACACUUGAUUAUUGCGGUCGGAGUGUAAAAGCAUAUUCGAAACACCAAAGUUUGACACAGAAUAGGAGUAUGAGAAAACUAGAAUGCGUGACUGAUAUAAAAUUGCUUGCCUGAAAGGAGAAUGUUCUGGGAUUAGCAAUGCGCUUGGUAUGCUGUGAUUGGUAUAACUAGAGUGCGUUUAGAAUCCAUGUACUAUCAUUAGCUGUAGGGCUGUAACUACAACUAUAAGAAGUACAUGUAGUUGGAAUAUCAGUGCUAACGCCUUGACAGAACUAGAAUAGAUCCCAAACUGUGACGCGCAGUUGCUUUUCAGCAAAAGAAACAGAAUUACAGGUCUAAAUAGCAGGGCCACAAAAAGAGUAGCACCAGGACAGGCCGUUGGCCCUGAUAGUUAGCUGAAGAUGUCCUAUGAAUCAUGAAUUGUAAACUGUCAGACAUAACAUUUAUUUAUUUUCUGAAUCACACCCGACAAUGGACUACUACUGUCGUUUGAAUGGUUAUACGAAACGACUUUUUAUCAUCAAGGGUGGACAGUCAGUUCAGGCAGGAUAACUGGAUAACCAUUGCAUUCCCAAGACGUGCAGGUGUACCAAAUCCUUCAAGCAGCAUAUGUGCUUUGUGACAGGAGAGAGUUCAUCCAAAACAACACAUUAAAGAAUUGGGGCAUUCUAGCUAACAAGAAGGAAGGAAACAGAGCAGACAUAUGCUACAAUGGGGACCCAUCAUUACUGUCAGCACCACCCGGGGAGCCAAUGCAUAUGCGGAACGACUACGGUUCAGCAUUCCCUGGUGCAACAGAAACAAAUAUAAUGCCCAGCCACAUACAUAAUCACUAACCAGCAACUAGACUAGUUUAAUGUGUUUGGCUGGCACCAGCACUGAACUGCCCCCCAACAGUUUGGCACCAGCAGCGCUGCUACUUAGAGAGUACAUAAAGUUGACAAGCAAAUCGGGGCAGGCAUACCUGCUUCUUCUUCCUGGCGAGGUUCCAGAUCCGCCAGGACAUGUUCUCCAGCCGCGUGUUCCGCUCCUGCGGGCUCCUCAUCGCCGACGUCUGAUGCAUACAACAAAAAUCCAUAAUAAAUCACCGGAAACAAUCAAAAUCUCGCCACCUAAGCUAAUCUAAUCUAAUCCAAUCUGGAGCAAGCAGCUAGCUAAGACACGAGGAGCGAGGAGGGGCGGCGAGGAAGGCUUACGCGGACCCAGGUCUUGUAGAGGUCGGUCUCGUCGAAGCCGGAGAUGACCUCCUCGACGAAGUAGCGCGCCGGGUUGAAGCGGCCGCGCUCCCGCAGCAUGAGCGACGACUUGUCCCGCCUCUUCUCCGCCGCGUCGCCGCCGCCCCCGGGCGCCGUUGAGGCGGCCGAGAUUUCCCCCGCGGCGCCCCCCGCGUCCAGGAUGGCCUCCAGGUAGCUGUUGAUCCAGUCGUUCCCCACCAUCGCGCCGCCCGCGCGCUCGCUCCCCGGUGCUCUCUCCGGCGACGAGAUGAGAUGAGAUGCGGUGGGGGGCGGGGAGGUGGGUGGGGGAUCGGAGCGGAGCGGGGCGGGGAGGGUUGUGGAAGGAUUGGGAAUCGGUGGCAGUGCUAGCGACUGCUAAUGAUGACCAUGGUUUGAGCCUUCCCGAAGCAAAGCUGGCAAAGGGAGAUUCGCAGUGAAGAUACCACCGGUGGGUGGGGUGGGGUGGGGUGGGGUGGUGGACUCCCGUUUCCGUAGGUUUCUUCUCCGGUUGCCGUCAGCGUGCGCCACGUCGCGUCCCGGGGUGGACAGCUGUGUCCAAAUCAAAGCAUCUUCAACAGUUGAAAUCUCCUGGAAUAUUAAACCCGGGGGGAAUAUCCCCCUCAACCGACGGGUUUUUCUUUCAGCCCCCGUCGACCGACCGACCAGAGGACGCCACGUGCCCACUUGAGCCCGCAUCACCGCUCUUUUUUUUCCUUUUAUUUACGAGUAGCAAAUAUGUGCGUGCGUUGCAGCGGAGGAAAACUGGAGGUCGGAAUCGGCGGGAUCGAAGCGCGGCGAGCGGGCCGGAAGGCGGCGGCGACGGCAGAGCUCGAGUGUUGUCAGCAGCCGCGCGGAGCUUGGGGGAUGGCGUUGUCGGGUGGCUGGAAGGCGGGUCCGAUGGCGGACGGACGGCGGGAUUCUGACUGGGCCGACGCCGAAAUCGCUCGUCAUGGUGGCGGAGCUUGAGGACGAGCGGCGGCACCGAGCUCAAGGAAUGGCGAUGGGAAACUUGAAGGCGGGCGGUGGGGGUCGAGGGGAGCGCAGGUCCCGCAAUGGACGACUGAAAUAGGGCGGCGGUGGUGUGAACCAAUCGCGGGAGUCACAACGGACGGCUCCGAGCAAUGGGGCUAGGUGAUGGCGGGGCUCGGGUGGCUUGGUGGCCAGAAUCGACGGGCACAAAUGCAGGGUGGGCAGCGUGUAGCAUGGAAUUUUAUCGAACGGGGUUGGGGUUGGCGCUUCGUUUCUUAUUGGUGUUUCGGUAGAUUGGAAGAGAGAACCAAAUAUGGGUCUUAGGUAGCAAAUUUUAGGAAGUUACCAGAAGAUUUUCGGUUUCAUUCAAUUCAAUUGUAUGUGUGCUUUUCGAGCCUUUUUGGGAAAUCCAAAAAUAUUAAAGUCCUGGAAUUUUGUUUAAGGUUUGCUUGACGGAGAUGCUAAAGCAUCUCCAAUAGUUGCCCUAUAUAGGGCACCCAAAAGAGCUUGAAGCAAAAUUUAGGACAUGCAAAGUGGAUUUUAGGGCACGACAAAGUGAGCAUCUCUCACAACUGCCCUGAAUAGGACAACCAAAAUAAUCAUUUCACAUUGCAUUGUAUACUUUGAUUACAACUUAUGCCAUGAAUCAAUCUGUGGUUGGAUGGUUAGAGGAAUUGUGUAACCCCAGUCCACUAGAGUUCAAAUCCUGGUGCUCGCAUUUAUUCCUGAAUUUAUUUUAGCAUUUUUGGCGAUGCACAUUCAGUGAGAAAAGAUAUUCCUUCGAUGAUGAGGUGCCUACGGUGACUUCGUAAAAAAAAUUGCAACUUACGCCCAUGACCCACUUUGUGGAGCCCAUGUCUUACAUUUCAACACGGCAUCAUAUUUGUGUCGACUUGUUUAAUCUAAUGUGACAAGCUUAGCCAUCGCAUAUCACACGGGACAUUGUACCAUGAUAGUUCAAGAGUACUUAUAAAACUUAAAAAAUAAUCUCAUUGAGCUGGAUGUGAGGCUUGCCCUUCACGAUUGAAUAUAUGUUUCAUAAAAAGUAUUGUUUUAUUUUAUUCUUGAGAAGUCAAGGCAUUGCAUAUUUUUCAUUUAUAAAUAAUACAGCAGAGAAAGGGCUCAGUGCUUUCGAAAAGACAUUUUUUGUUUGUUAUUAUUCGUAAUUUAAUUCAAAGCCCAAUGCUCAUCGGCACAGAACAUGCGAACGUGAUUGUUGGCGCCCACAACGACUUGUAGCGAGCGGGCUCAACAUUCUUCUAUUCGAACAACAAACGCAAAUAAAAAAAUAACCUCUAGAUAUAGAGGGUGUUUGAAUCCAAGGGACUUAUUUUAGUCUGACUAGAAAUAGUCUUUUUAAGAGGCUAAAGUUUCAAGCAUCCCUGAUUAAAGAGGGUCUAAAACUAGUCUUGAGACUAAAAUUUUUAGUCAGGCGUACCCCUAAUAAAAUAUGGAUUAGUCAUCUCUCUCCUCAUUUAACUCCUCUUCUUUAACACAGGCGAGUUCUGGAUUGAAGGGUUUGGAAGAUAAUAAAUACUCAUUAACUUGAUUUUAGUCUCUUUAGUAUUUGGAUCCAAGCAUGGGUGAGGCUAGCAAGUUUUAAUCCCACUACUUUUAGUCAUGAGACUAAAACGUAUCCAAGCACCCUUAUAGUUCUUCUGAUAGAAGAAGGACUUGAACUGGGCACCAAAACGAUGACAACCGUAGCCAAUAACCACUAGGUUGCAUUCAGUCAGUUGUGUAUAAUUAGGAAACAGUGCUAGUUGACCUUGUUAUAGUACAACAUUAAUACACAAUAUAUGUCCAAUAUAAAUAUUUGAAAAAGAGAGAAUAAAUUUGAGAAAGAAUUCUUCAAAAUAUUGAAAACAAGCAAGAAUUGAAAAAAGUUCAAAAAAUUUGAAGAAGUUCAUCAAUGUUGAAAAAAUUCAUCAAAUUUGAAAAAAAAAUCAUCAAAUUCUGAAAAAAGUUCACCGGAUUCUGAAAAAAGUUCACAGAUUUGAGAAAAAGUUCAUUUCGAUAAAAAAGUUCAUCAAAUUUGAAAAAGGUUCAGAAAUUUGAAAACAAUUAAUUGAAUUUGAAAAGGUACAUCAAAUUUGAAAAAAAUUCACAAAUUUGAAAAAGAAUCAUUGAUUUUGAAAAAAAAGUUCAUCAAAUUUGAAAAAAAAACUUCAUCGAAUUUGAAAAAAAUCAUCUCCGAGAGACUAAGCCGACACAUAAUCUUGAGAUCGACGAAGCCACCACAGGUGCCUCCAUAGUCGACGGCAACGGUUGCUUCCACUGAACGAGCAUUCCCGAAAGGCCUGAAAUAAAACCAGAAAAAUGAGAGCACCGGUGCCAAAUCUAUGAUUUUAACCUUGGGCUGGUUUUACUACAAACCUAACCAUCAGAGCUAGGCACAGUACACUAGCACCGACAGGCUAACAGACUAGACAUGAUGAAUAAAGAUUGUCACUACCGGGCCAAUCCGGAAACUGGUACAACUUUUUAGUACCACCUCAGCCAACUUAUUAUGUUCACUAAUUAUUAUUAUUAUUAUUAUUAUUAUUAUUAUUAUUAUUAUUAUUAUUAUUAUUAUUAUUAUUAUUAUUAUUAUAUGUCCGUGGGCGGACCAAAAAAUUGGAGAAAUGCGCCGUCCUUUAUUAGUAGGUAUAAAUUUAUCUUCAUCAAAUUGAGCGCAUAUAUAUCUUUUCCCCAACCUUGUCACCAACCUCCAGACCACUCCUAUGAAUGUGCCUCCCCUCAAGCAUGCACCAAACCGUACCAAAUGUUGAUGCUUCGCCGCCCGCGCCUCUCCUCUUCUCCUCCCUCGACCUUUCCUCUCUUUCUUGUGCAAGGCGCGCCGCCGUCGGAGUUCCGUCCGCCAUAGCCCACCAUCCACGUCGCCGCCGUCUUAGAGGAGCACCGGCGUGCACAACCAUGGUUGCCACCUCCUCAAGGUCAGCCACAAAUGUCAGUACCACGCGCUACAGUUCCCACAAAAAUUGUGUAUGGCAGUUGUGAUGCGGUGAUGUUUUCUGUAACAUGAUCUUGGUUGAAUUUUUUUUUUUUUGUAACAAGGGUCAUCAAAGGUGUCCUAUCAAGUUAUCCGAGAUGGUUCAUGCAUCCCUGUAGACUCCUCGGUCGAUCGAUCAACAUCUCUACGCAUGGUGAUGAGGACACCAUAACCAUCAACAAGUCUUCAACAAUUAUAGGUUCGAUCACAAGAAGUCGUGCCAAACAAAUAAGUGACCAGGUGAACGCUAACUUAAGUUUAUUUUGUAACCUUGAUGACACAACUAUGCUUUCAUCCCCAUUGUUGUUGGUUGAACUUAGGUAUAACACGAAAGAAAUCCAACAACCUAUGAGCUCUUGAAGAAACCGGUUUAAAGGAACAGUUUGGAGAAAACAAGUUUCAAGUGAAGCUAAUGCUGCCAGUUUUUACCUCUGAUGUUUUGUUGUGCCACACUCAUGUGGUUGAGAGACGGGGCCAUAGGGGUACAUCAACAGAAGCUACAUCAAAUUAUCUUUUCAAUGCAAAAAACCUCACACCAUUUGGAUUUGUGAGUCAAAAGUACUAGUCAUUCUCGUGAAAGGUGUCCAGGCUGUCAGGCUGGUCAUAGUGGGGAGUAACUUAUACUAGUGUCAUGCAUAUGACACUAGUCUAAGUUAUUACCUUCAUAGUGCAAAGUAACAUAGUAACAGUGUCAUAGAGGACUUCAUUUAUUAGCUUGUAGACUCAUCUUGUCUUGGAAGGCGCUAUGUUACAGCAACAUAUUAUGUUACCACUUAUCAUUAACUACAUUGCCACAUAAGCAAAAUUUUCUUAAAGUGCGCUAUGUUACUAGCUAAGUUACUCCCACUAUGACUAGCCUCAAGGCUUCGCGAAUUUCUGAGGAGCUCUCCAACAACUCCCGAAGUUGACUGCUUAUUCACCUAAGGAAGCCAUGCAAACCUUCUUACUUUUGAAACCAUUUUCACACCUAGCUAAGGGGGUUGUCCCUGCUAUAAAACCCCAUCUCACCCAUCCUCUUAGAAACCUUUUGUCAAACCAUUCAGCUACAAGCUUACUCCCUCUUUUCUAGUUUAUAGGGCUUAAUUUAAAAAUCUCUUCAACCAAGGUAGAUGAUGAAUGGUGGAAUUAAUUCUGUAGUUUGCAAAAUUACUUAAUUAGUACUCUCAUUUUUCUAAAAAAUGUGUAAACCGAUGCAUCAAUUACACCACAUGCAUGCAUGACCACUUAAUGACCAAGAACUUCAACAUGUAUUGGUUCUUCAUCCUUGCAUGCAUUUAAUACACCUUGAAAUCUGAACAUGUGAUGAGUAGUAGAAUUGAGACUUAUAAAACGGAAAAACGAACUUUUUAAGAUGAGCCCUAUAAACCAGAAAGGAGAGGGUAUGCAGCAAGACUGCUAGAGAGAUCCGAGAGAUCUUGCUACCUUUGCUCUUGUGAGUUCAUUUGGAUUCACGAGAAGGAGCCUCUGGUUCCCCCUAGUUUGUGCUCUACGGUUCUGGCCGUUUUGUGUGGAUUAGUCCCGGUUUAUGGUUCUGCGAUUAGUUCUUGUAGCUUCGACCAGUCAUCCUCAACGUACGGGUUGCAUCCAACCUUGGCAGGUAUAAAGCUAGUUAUCCCGGAUGCUUGCAGCUAGUUAUCCUUUUCGAGUUGAUCCUACGACGUGAAGAUCGGGCCACCCUCGGGCAUGAACUCGAUCAUAGGGUUCCCACCUAUCAUCUGGCAUCAGAGCCUUCGUUGACACGGUAGGAUCUGUUAUCCAAGUUUAUCUUGCUAUCAUCCUUUUAGAUCGAGUGUUUUUCAUGCUAUAUUUUCUGUCCAAGAAGUCCAAAGCCCCACAAAAAAAAUCAAAAGUCAAAUAAAACCCCACAGCUUAAAUUGACCAAGACAUGGGAAAAAUAGGGAUUAGUAUGAUGGCUAGGAAAAGGGACAUGAGAGAGUUGAGAGAACCCAAUUCCGUGUUCUUUGUACUUUUGUACAAGGACAACUUUCUUUCUACUAAUGAAUUAACCCCCACCACUCCUAGUGUUGUUGUUGAAAUUUUGCAGGGGUAUGAAGAUGUGUUCCACGAGGAGAUACCACCGGGGCUGCCACCACAAAGAGGCAUUGAACACCAAAUUGAUUUGGUUCCAGGAGCCCCAUUGUCGAACUGACCACCAUACCGCACAAAUCUGGAGGAAACUGAAAGUGCGUUAUAUCGACUAGAGGGGGGGGGUGAAUAGGUGAUUUUUAUGAAAGUCUUCAAAACGUGAAAGUUAUGAAGACAAACCGUAGAGAUAUGCCUAUUACUAUGCAGCGGAAGUUAGAUUACACUAGGCAAGCCAUAGUCAAGUAUUCAAUAGAGUGAAAGCACAGUGACAAAUAGCUGCAGUGUAAUAAGGAUCAGGUAGGAAGAUUUUAUGAAGCCAAACAGAUCAUACAGUCAUGUUGUGAAGACAAAAGAUAGAGCAAGCAUGCAAUGACUUCACAAUGAGUAACAGUAAGUAAAAGGAAGUGAAGAUGAAACCAGUGACUCGUUGAAGACAAAGAUUUGUUGGACCAGUUCCAGUUGCUGUGACAACUGUACGUCUGGUUAGGGCGGCUAGGUAUUUAAACCAAAGGACACACAGUCCCGGACACCCAGUCCUGAACACGCAGCUCAGGACACCCAGUCCUCACCGUAUUCCCCUUGAGCUAAGGUCACACAGACCUCGCCCAAUCACUCUGGUAAGUCUUCAAGCUAGACUCCCAAACCUUCACAGACUUCGUUCACCGACAAUCCACAAUGUCUCUUGGAUGCUCAGAACGCGACGCCUAACCGGCUGGAGGAUGCACAGUCCUCAAGUGUAAUAAGUCUUCAGAUCACUCAGACAAGAAGACUUAAGUGAUGCCCAAUUCUCUCUGGCUCUGGGUGGUUAGGGCUUUAUCCUCGCUAGGAAUUCUCUCUCUCAAAGGCUUCAAGGUGGGUUGCUCUCAAACGACAAAAGCCGUGCACUGAAAUCUGAGCAGCCAACCGUUUAUGGUUGUAGGGGGUGGGCUAUUUAUAGCCACUAGGCAACCCGACCUGAUUUGUCCGAAAUGACCCUGGGUCACUAAGGAACUGACACGUGUUCCAACGGUCAGAUUUCAAACUCACACGGCAACUUUACUUGGUCUACAAGCAAAGCUAACUUGUCCGACUCUGGACAAGAUUUGCUCUCAUAAUCUUCGCUCGAAGACAUAGGUUUUUUGUUUAGGCAUCACUUCAGUCGUUCUGACUGGUUCUCUUGGACCCCACUUAGCAGUACGGUGGUUCCUAUGACUCAACGCAAAUAAAAGAGAACUACGAAAGAUCUAAGUCUUCGAGCUCCAUAGGCUUCAUGCGGUGUCUUCUCUUGUCAUAGUCUUCAAAGUGAAUAUCUUCAUAUACCACCAUUGACUUCAAUGUCUUCGUACAUUUUUAGGGGUCAUCUCUGGUAGUAAAACCGAAUCAAUGAGGGACUUCUACCUGUGUUAUCCUGCAAUUCUCACAAACACAUUAGCCCCUCAACUAGGUUUGUCGUCAAUACUCCAAAACCAACUAGGGGUGGCACUAGAUGCACUUACAAUCUCCCCCUUUUUGGUGAUUGAUGACAAACUAGUUGAAGUUUUCAACGGGGAAUAUAAUCUGUGAAAUUGUAAAGGAUAAGGAAUUGUCUUCAUAAGUUGCAAGGGAUCCCCCUGAAGAUGUGCAUAUAAGUAAUUUGCUUUUGGAAUGCAAAUGCACAUGGCAGGUUGUACUUGUGGAGAUCCACUUCAACUUAUGAUGACAAUUCACUAUGCAUGUGAAAGUAUAUGAAGAUAAUGACAUGCAUAAUGAAAAAUGGACGUCUACAGAAUGAUCUAAGUGCGGAAUUUAUAGUCGCACAUGCGGAAUUUAUCUUCGCAAAACAAGGUGGCAAACAAGUAGCAGACGACCAUCGAGUUUAAGUGUGACAACUCAAAGAACCAAAUGUAGCAAAAUGAGAGUUGUGAGCACGAAGCAAAAUAUAGCAAAAUAUUAAAGCACCCGCCCAUAUGGACCCGCUUGAAGACUAUCAACCUCAUAUGCUUCUCCCCCUUUUGUUAGUAAGGACCAAAAAGGUUUGAAGACAUAGAGUUUUCUACUCGUUCCCAGGAGCAGCAGGGUCGUUGGUGGUGGUUGGCGGUGCUGAAGAGCUUGGUGCAGAGUCGACGCGUGCUGAAGGAGGUGGCGGUGAUGUAGCAUCGUCUUCAUCCUCUAUAAUUUGGGCAGUCACGGUGGCAGCAGAUGAAGAGAACUCCGAGUCUUCAAGGGAUGGAGUUCCUCGCAGCACAGCCAUUCGAGGAGGUGUGGAGUCAAACUUGAAUCGCUCUGUGAAGCCAUCCUCUUGAAGAUCAGCUUCAGAACACAGCACCGUGAGUCCUUUCCACGUGCGUCGACAGGUUUCGUGUGCAACGAAAGCAUUCUUGGUGGCAAGAUUUCAAAUGUGAUUUACAUCCACCAAGAGGCUUUUCAUCUGACGCUUCAACCAGUCAUGAUGCCUAUCCUGUUUUUGAUGAAGGGCCACAAGAAGCUCUAGGUCAGUGAGAACACGAGCGCGCUUCUUGGGUCUUGGAGCAGUUGUGCUGUCAGUGGCUUUAGUGGAAGCAGGGCGUGGUGCACGUGUAGUGCCAGCCAACGGAUACACCCGAGAGACUGCUUCAAUUCCUUCAAUGUUUUGAGUGAAGCUCUGGUGUUCUGCAUUCUGAAGACUCAGAGGUUGCUUGUCAGGCUCAGGAUAGAUGGCUUCAGUAGAGGUAUCCACAUCAGGCAAUAAGAUUCGAUGGUUGCGGCCUAAGGGCUGAUACGAGAUAGCAGAGUGAAUCUUGAUCAGCCGCAUUACCCAAGGGGCAUAGAACUUCAAUCCAAACAGAUCUAAGCCUGAUGCAGCACGUUGGCGUAUGAAGAAGUCCUGUGCGUUGAAGCAUUUUCCAUGAAGGAUACAGAAUAUCAGAGUCUUCAUUGCACCCUCGAUCUUGGCAUUUGGAGAGUGCCCUUUGAUAGGCCAGAGAGUCCUCCUGAUGAUGUAAUAGAUGGUUCUGGGCAGGUACUCAAGGUCUUCAAUGAAGAACUCUGUGGGAUAAGGAGCAUCUUGGGGCAAUGGCUUCAUCAUGGAGAGCAUUUGACUCGUGUCAGGUUCUGGUCGCUGAAAGAUGCUCUCAAUAGCUUCAGCAUGUAGCUGACAGCCUUGCUCGAAGAGAUCGCCAGGAGUGGGCAAGCCAGUGAGCUCAAUGAUAUCAAAUGCAUUGGCUUCGUGAUGAACAUUGCCAGUCAUCCACUCCACGACCCAAGUCUUCAGAUCUCUGUUGUACCCUUUGAUGUGAAGGGUGGCAUAGAAUUGUAGCUGGAGCUCUUCAUUCCAAUGCUCUUCAUCAGUAACAAACUGCAGCAGACCCACUUGCUUGAAGCAAUCCAACGCUUCUUCUAGACAGGGCAGACCAGGAAAAGUGCACAUUUUGCACAGACAAAGUUGCGUUUAUUGGCUUUGUUGUUUCAGGCAAAGGUGUGGAGGUAGAUGAGGACAAGGUCAAAGCCAUCCGUGAGUGGAUGCCUCCACAAAAUGUAAGUCAAGUACGAAGCUUUCUUGGUUGCUGGUUUCUACAUUCGGUUUGUGAAGGACUUCAGCACCAUUGCUGCCCCAAUGAAUGAGCUAACCAAGAAAGAUGUUCCCUUCAAGUGGGCAAAUGCACAAGAGAAGGCCUUCCAAGAGCUGAAUGAAAAAUUGACAUCUACACCAUUGCUUGCACUACCCAACUUUGGUAAGACUUUUGAAAUUGAAUGAUAUGCAAGUGGUGUGGGUAUUGGAGGCAUACUAAUGCAAGAAGGUAGUCCUAUUGCAUAUUUUAGUGAGAAGCUAAGUGGUCCAACUCUAAAUUAUUCAGUUUAUGACAACGAAUUAUAUGAACUUGUGAGAUCUUUGGAAACAUUAUUUGUGGCAUAAAGAAUUUGUGAUACAUUCCGACCAUGAAUCUUUAAAGCACCUUAGGGGUCAAAAAAAUCUGAACUGUAGACAUGCAAAAUGGAGUGAAUUCAUAGAAUCUUUUCCCUAUAUUGUCAAGUACAAGAAAGGAAAAGAUAAUGUUGUUGCCGAUGCUUUGUCUAGACGCCAACUUGAUACUAAAAUUCUUGGGUUGCAAAGCAUUAAAGAAUUGUAUGUCAAUGACCCAUAUUUUGCUGAACCACACUCAAAGUGUAGUGAGGGAAAAGGUUGGGAAAAGUUUCACUUGCAUGAUGGAUUCUUGUUUCGAGCUAACAAAGUGUGCAUCCCAGAUUGCUCUGUUCGUUUGUUGCUUUUGCAGGAGGCUCGUGCUGGUGGUCUCAUGGGACAUUUUGGAGCAAAGAAAAUUGAGAGUGUGUUGAUUGACCAUUUAUUUUGGCCAAGGAUGAGGCGUGAUGUUGAGCGCUACGUGCUACAUUGUGAGAUUUGCCGCAAAGCUAAGUCACGUUUAAACCCUCAUGGACUUUAUAUGCCUUUAUCAAUUCCCAGUACACUUUGGGAAGAUAUUUCUAUGGACUUUGUUCUUGGAUUACCACACACUAAGAGGGGGGAGUGAUUCAGUUUUUGUGGUGGUUGAUAGGUUUAGCAAGAUGGCUCAUUUUAUCCCAUGUCAUAAGAGCGAUGAUGCUUCACAUAUUGCUGAUUUGUUUUUCAGGGAAGUCGUAUGGCUACAUGGAGUACCACGCACUAUUGUUUCAGAUCGUGACACCAAGUUUUUGAGCUAUUUUCGGAAAAUGUUGUGGGCAAAGCUAGGAACAAUGCUUCUUUUUUCCACUACAUGCCACCCACAAACGGAUGGACAAACUAAAGUUGUCAACCGCGCACUGUCCAUGAUGCUAAGAGCAGUUUUAAAGAAAAAUUUGCAGAUGCUUCUUUUAUGUUGUGUCAACACCUUCUAAAAUAAGCGCCAGAACUUGAGAGCACUGCUGUCAUGCUGAUGCAUUGUGUGUAGCUAAUGUUGGGUGCAUCAUGACUGGAUCUUUUCUACCAUGAUUUACAAUGUUUAGUCGCUGCUUGAACUUUGGAGGUGCUCUGCAUUUAUGUUUUGCGGUCUCACAAAGGGCUGAUAUGUCUCCAAUGUAUCUAUAAUUUUUUAUUGUUCCAUGCUGUUUUAUUAUCAAUCUUGGAUGUUUUAUAAUCAUUUUAUAGUCAUUUUAUAUCUUUUUUGGUACUAACUUACUGACAUAGUGCCAACUGCCAGUUGCUGUUUUUUUCCAUAUUUUUUACAUCGCAGGAAAUCAAUAUCAAACGGAGUCCAAAUGCCACGAAACUCCAUGAUGAUUUUUGAUGGGCUAGAAGGAAGGCAAUGGGCCCUGGUUGCACCUGGGGGGAGUCCCGAGGAGGGGACAACCCACCAGGGCAUGCCAGGAGGCCCAGGCACGCCCUGGUGGGUUGUGCCCACCUCGGGUGCCCCCGGACCGCCUCUUUGCUCUAUAAAUUGUUGGGGAACGUAGUAAUUUCAAAAUUUUCCUACGCACACGCAAGAUCAUGGUGAUGCAUAGCAACGAGGGGGAGAGUCUGAUCUACAUACCCUUGUAGAUCGCAACGGAAGCGUUGACACAACGUAGAGGAAGUAGUCGUACGUCUUCUUCCCGAUCCGACCGAUCCAAGCACCGUUACUCCGGCACCUCCGAGUUCUUAGCACACGUACAGCUCGAUGACGAUCCCCGGGCUCCGAUCCAGCAAAGCUUCGGGGAGGAGUUCCGUCAGCACGACGGUGUGGUGACGAUCUUGAUGUAUUACCGAUGCAGGGCUUCGCCUAAGCACUACAACGAUAUGAUCGAGGUGGAAUAUGGUGGCAGGGGGCACCGCACACGGCUAAGGAACGAUCUCAAUGAUCAACUUGUGUGUCUAGAGGUGCCCCCUACCUCCGUAUAUAAAGGAGCCAAGGGGAAGGGUGCGGCCGGCCAGGAGGAGGGCGCAGGAGGAGUCCUACUCCUACCGGGAGUAGGACCCCCCCCCCCCAAUCCUAGUUGGACUAGGUUUCCCCAAGGGGCAAAGAGAGAGAGGGGGGCCGGCCACCUCUCCUAGUCCUAAUAGGACUAGGGGAGGGGGGAGGCGCGCGGCCACCUUGGGCUGCCCCUUUCUCCUUUCCACUAAAGCCCAUUAUGGCCCAUAUGAUUCCCGGGGAGUUCCGGUAACCUCCCGGUACUCCGGUAAAAUCCCGAUUUCACCCGGAACACUUCCGAUAUCCAAAUAUAGGCUUCCAAUAUAUCAAUAUUUAUGUCUCGACCAUUUCGAGACUCCUCGUCAUGUCCGUGAUCACAUCCGGGACUCCAAACUAACUUCGGUACAUCAAAAUGCAUAAACUCAUAAUAACUGUCAUCGUAACGUUAAGCGUGCGGACCCUACGGUUCGAGAACAAUGUAGACAUGACCGAGACACGUCUCCGGUCAAUAACCAAUAGCGGGACCUGGAUGCCCAUAUUGGCUCCUACAUAUUCUACGAAGAUCUUUAUCGGUCAGACCGCAUAACAACAUACGUUGUUCCCUUUGUCAUCGGUAUGUUACUUGCCCGAGAUUCGAUCGUCGGUAUCUAAUACCUAGUUCAAUCUCGUUACCGGCAAGUCUCUUUACUCGUUCCGUAAUACAUCAUCUCACAACUAACAUAUUAGUUGCAGUGCUUGCAAGGCUUAUGUGAUGAGCAUUACCGAGAGGGCCCAGAGAUACCUCUCCGACAAAUCCUAAUCUCGAAAUACGCCAACCCAACAUCUACCUUUGGAGACACCUGUAGAGCUCCUUUAUAAUCACCCAGUUACGUUGUGACGUUUGGUAGCACACAAAGUGUUCCUCCAGUAAACGGGAGUUGCAUAAUCUCAUAGUCAUAGGAACAUGUAUAAGUCAUGAAGAAAGCAAUAGCAACAUACUAAACGAUCGGGUGCUAAGCUAAUGGAAUGGGUCAUGUCAAUCACAUCAUUCUCCUAAUGAUGUGGUCCCGUUUAAUCAAAUGACAACACAUGUCUAUGGUUAGGAAACAUAACCAUCUUUGAUUAACGAGCUAGUCAAGUAGAGGCAUACUAGUGAAAUAUGUUUGUCUAUGUAUUCACACAAGUAUUAUGUUUCCGGUUAAUACAAUUCUAGCAUGAAUAAUAAACGUUUAUCAUGAUAUAAGGAAAUAAAUAAUAACUUUAUUAUUGCCUCUAGGGCAUAUUUCCUCCAGUCUCCCACUUGCACUAGAGUCAAUAAUCUAGAUUAUACAGUAAUGAUUCUAACACCCAUGGAGCCUUGGUGCUGAUCAUGUUUUGCUCGUGGAAGAGGCUUAGUUAACGGGUCUGCAACAUUCAGAUCCGUAUGUAUCUUGCAAAUCUCUAUGUCUCCCACCUGGACUAGAUCCCGGAUGGAAUUGAAGCGUCUCUUGAUGUGCUUGGUCCUCUUGUGAAAUCUGGAUUCCUUUGCCAAGGCAAUUGCACCAGUAUUGUCACAAAAGAUUUCCAUUGGACCCGACGCACUAGGUAUGACACCUAGAUCGGAUAUGAACUCCUUCAUCCAGACUCCUUCGUUCGCUGCUUCCGAAGCAGCUAUGUACUCCGCUUCACAUGUAGAUCCCGCUACGACGCUUUGUUUAGAACUGCACCAACUGACCGCUCCACCGUUUAAUGUAAACACGUAUCCGGUUUGCGAUUUAGAAUCGUCCGGAUCAGUGUCAAAGCUUGCAUCAACGUAACCUUUUACGGUGAGCUCUUUGUCACCUCCAUAUACGAGAAAUAUAUCCUUAGUCCUUUUCAGGUAUUUCAGGAUGUUCUUGACCGCUGUCCAGUGAUCCAUUCCUGGAUUACUUUGGUACCUCCCUGCUAAACUUAUAGCAAGGCACACAUCAGGUCUGGUACACAGCAUUGCAUACAUGAUAGAGCCUAUGGCUGAAGCAUAGGGAACAUCUUUCAUUUUCUCUCUAUCUUCUGCAGUGGUCGGGCAUUGAGUCUGACUCAACUUCACACCUUGUAACACAGGCAAGAACCCUUUCUUUGCUUGAUCCAUUUUGAACUUUUUCAAAAUUUUGUCAAGGUAUGUGCUUUGUGAAAGUCCAAUUAAGCGUCUCGAUCUAUCUCUAUAGAUCUUAAUGCCCAAUAUGUAAGCAGCUUCACCGAGGUCUUUCAUCGAAAAACUCUUAUUCAAGUAUCCCUUUAUGCUAUCCAGAAAUUCUAUAUCAUUUCCAAUUAGCAAUAUGUCAUCCACAUAUAAUAUCAGAAAUGCUACAGAGCUCCCACUCACUUUCUUGUAAAUACAGGCUUCUCCAAAAGUCUGUAUAAAACCAAAUGCUUUGAUCACACUAUCAAAGCGUUUAUUCCAACUCCGAGAGGCUUGCACCAGUCCAUAAAUAGAUCGCUGGAGCUUGCACACUUUGUUAGAUCCUUUUGGAUCGACAAAACCUUCUGGUUGCAUCAUAUACAACUCUUCUUCCAGAAAUCCAUUCAGGAAUGCAGUUUUGACAUCCAUCUGCCAAAUUUCAUAAUUAUAAAAUGCGGCAAUUGCUAACAUGAUUCGGACAGACUUAAGCAUCGCUACGGGUGAGAAGGUCUCAUCGUAGUCAACCCCUUGAACUUGUCGAAAACCUUUUGCGACAAGUUGAGCUUUAUAGACAGUAACAUUACCGUCAGCGUCAAUCUUUUUUUUGAAGAUCCAUUUAUUCUCAAUUUCUUGCCGAUCAUCGGGCAAGUCAACCAAAGUCCAUACUUUGUUCUCAUACAUGGAUCCCAUCUCAGAUUUCAUGGCUUCAAGCCACUUUGCGGAAUCUGGGCUCACCAUCGCUUCUUCAUAGUUCGUAGGUUCAUCAUGAUCUAGUAGCAUGACUUCCAGAACUGGAUUACCGUACCACUCUGGUGCGGAUCUUACUCUGGUUGAUCUACGAGGUUCAGUAGUAUCUUGUUCUGAAGUUUCAUGAUCAUUAUCAUUAAUUUCCUCACUUAUUGGUGUAGGUGUCGCAGAAACAGUUUUCUGUGAUGUAUUACUUUCCAACAAGGGAGCAGGUACAGUUACCUCGUCAAGUUCUACUUUCCUCCCACUCACUUCUUUCGAGAGAAACUCCUUCUCAAGAAAGUUUCCGAAUUUAGCAACAAAAGUCUUGCCUUCGGAUCUGUGAUAGAAGGUGUAUCCAAUAGUUUCCUUUGGAUAUCCUAUGAAGACACAUUUCUCCGAUUUGGGUUCGAGCUUAUCAGGUUGAAGCUUUUUCACAUAAGCAUCGCAGCCCCAAACUUUCAGAAACGACAACUUUGGUUUCUUGCCAAACCAUAGUUCAUAAGGCGUCGUCUCAACGGAUUUUGAUGGUCCCUGUUUAACGUGAAUGCGGCCGUCUCUAGAGCGUAUCCCCGAAACGAUAGCGGUAAAUCAGUAAGAGACAUCAUAGAUCGCACCAUAUCUAGUAAAGUAUGAUUACGACGUUCGGACACACCAUUACGCUGUGGUGUUCCGGGUGGCGUGAGUUGCGAAACUAUUCCAUAGUUUUUCAAAUGUACACCAAACUCGUAACUCAAAUAUUCUCCUCCACGAUCAGAUCGUAGAAACUUUAUUUUCUUGUUACGAUAAUUUUCAACUUCACUCUGAAAUUCUUUGAACUUUUCACACGUUUCAGACUUAUGUUUCAUUAAGUAGAUAUACCCAUAUCUACUUAAGUCAUCUGUGAAGGUGAGAAAAUAACGAUAUCCGCCACGAGCCUCAAUAUUCAUCGGACCACAUACAUCGGUAUGUAUGAUUUCCAACAAAUCUGUUGCUCUCUCCAUAGUGCCGGAGAACGGUGUUUUAGUCAUCUUACCCAUAAGGCACGGUUCGCAAGUACCAAGUGAUUCAUAAUCAAGUGGUUCCAAAAGCCCAUCAGUAUGGAGUUUCUUCAUGCGCUUUACACCGAUAUGACCUAAACGGCAGUGCCACAAAUAAGUUGCACUAUCAUUAUCAACUCUGCAUCUUUUGGCUUCAACAUUAUGAAUAUGUGUAUUACUACUAUCGAGAUUCAUUAAAAAUAGACCACUCUUCAAAUGUGCAUGACCAUAAAAGAUAUUACUCAUAUAAAUAGAACAACCAUUAUUCUCUGAUUUAAAUGAAUAACCGUCUCACAUCAAACAAGAUCCAGAUAUAAUGUUCAUGCUUAACGCUGGCACCAAAUAACAAUUAUUUAGGUCUAAUAUUAAUCCCGAAGGUAGAUGUAGAGGUAGCGUGCCGACCGCGAUCACAUCGACUUUGGAACCGUUUCCUACGCGCAUCGUCACCUCGUCCUUAGCCAAUCUUCGCUUAAUCCGUAGUCCCUGUUUCGAGUUGCAAAUAUUAGCAACAGAACCAGUAUCAAAUACCCAGGUACUACUGCGAGCAUUAGUAAGGUACACAUCAAUAACAUGUAUAUCACAUAUACCUUUGUUCACCUUGCCAUCCUUCUUAUCCGCCAAAUACUUUGGGCAGUUCCGCUUCCAGUGACCAGUCUGCUUGCAGUAGAAGCACUCAGUUUCAGGCUUAGGUCCAGACUUGGAUUUCUUCUCUUGAGCAGCAACUUGCUUGCCGUUCUUCUUGAAGUUCCCCUUCUUCUUCCCUUUGCCCUUUUUCUUGAAACUAGUGGUUUUGUUAACCAUCAACACUUGAUGCUCCUUUUUGAUUUCUACCUCCGCAGCUUUCAGCAUUGCGAAGAGCUCAGGAAUAGUCUUGUUCAUCCCUUGCAUAUUAUAGUUCAUCACGAAGCUCUUGUAGCUUGGUGGCAGUGAUUGGAGAAUUCUGUCAAUGACGCAAUCAUCUGGAAGAUUAACUCCCAAUUGAAUCAAGUGAUUAUUAUACCCAGACAUUUUGAGUAUAUGCUCACUGACAGAACUGUUCUCUUCCAUCUUGCAGCUAUAGAACUUAUUGGAGACUUCAUAUCUCUCAAUCCGGGCAUUUGCUUGAAAUAUUAACUUCAACUCCUGAAACAUCUCAUAUGCUCCAUGACGUUCAAAACGUCGUUGAAGUCCUGAUUCUAAGCCGUAAAGCAUGGCACACUCAACUAUCGAGUAGUCAUCAGCUUUGCUCUACCAGACGUUCAUAACAUCUGGUGUUGCUCCAGCAGCAGGCCUGGCACCCAGCGGUGCUUCCAGGACGUAAUUCUUCUGUGCAGCAAUGAGGAUAAUCCUCAAGUUAUGGACCCAGUCCGUGUAAUUGCUACCAUCAUCUUUCAACUUUGCUUUCUCAAGGAACGCAUUAAAAUUCAACGGAACAACAUCACGAGCCAUCUAUCUACAAUCAACAUAAACAAGCAAGAUACUAUCAGGUACUAAGUUCAUGAUAAAUUUAAGUUCAAUUAAUCAUAUUACUUAAGAACUCCCACUUAGAUAGACAUCCCUCUAAUCCUCUAAGUGAUCACGUGAUCCAAAUCAACUAAACCAUGUCCGAUCAUCACGUGAGAUGGAGUAGUUUCAUCAUUGAACAUCAUUAUGUUGAUCAUAUCUACUAUAUGAUUCACGCUCGACCUUUCGGUCUCCGUGUUCCGAGGCCAUAUCUGUAUAUGCUUGGCUCGUCAAGUAUAACCUGAGUAUUCCGCGUGUGCAACUGUUUUGCACCCGUUGUAUUUGAACGUAGAGCCUAUCACACCCGAUCAUCACGUGGUGUCUCAGCACGAAGAACUUUCGCAACGGUGCAUACUCAGGGAGAACACUUCUUGAUAAUUUAGUGAGAGAUCAUCUUAUAAUGUUACCGUCAAUCAAAGCAAGAUAAGAUGCAUAAAAGAUAAACAUCACAUGCAAUCAAUAUAAGUGAUAUGAUAUGGCCAUCAUCAUCUUGUGCUUGUGAUCUCCAUCUCCGAAGCAUCGUCAUGAUCACCACCGUCACCGGCGCGACACCUUGAUCUCCAUCGUAGCAUCGUUGUCGUCUCGCCAAUCUUAUGCUUCCACGACUAUCGCUACCGUUUAGUGAUAAAGUAAAGCAUUACAUCGCGAUUGCAUUGCAUACAAUAAAGCGACAACCAUAUGGCUCCUGCCAGUUGCCGAUAAGUCGGUUACAAAACAUGAUCAUCUCAUACAAUAAAAUUUAGCAUCAUGUCUUGACCAUAUCACAUCACAACAUGCCCUGCAAAAACAAGUUAGACGUCCUCUACUUUGUUGUUGCAAGUUUUACGUGGCUGCUACGGGCUUAAGCAAGAACCAAUCUCACCUACGCAUCAAAACCACAACGAUAGUUUGUCAAAUAGACUCCAUUUUAACCUUCGCAAGGACCGGGCGUAGCCACACUCGGUUCAACUAAAGUUGGAGAGACAGUCGCCCGCAAGCCACCUGUGUGCAAAGCACGUCAGGGGAACCGGUCUCGCGUAAGCGUACGCGUAAGGUUGGUCCGGGUCGUCUCGUCCAACAAUACCGCCGAACCAAAGUAUGACAUGCUGGUAGGCAGUAUGACUUGUAUCGUCCACAACUUACUUGUGUUCUACUCGUGCAAAUAAUAUCAAACCAUAAAACCUGGGCUCUGAUACCACUGUUGGGGAACGUAGUAAUUUCAAAAUUUUCCUACGCACACGCAAGAUCAUGGUGAUGCAUAGCAACGAGGGGGAGAGUCUGAUCUACGUACCCUUGUAGAUCGCAACGGAAGCGUUGACACAACAUAAAGGAAGUAGUCGUACGUCUUCUUCUUGAUCCGACCGAUCCAAGCACCGUUACUCCGGCACCUCCGAGUUCUUAGCACACGUACAGCUCGAUGACGAUCCCCGGGCUCCGAUCCAGCAAAGCUUCGGGGAGGAGUUCCGUCAGCACGACGGCGUGGUGACGAUCUUGAUGUAUUACCGACGCAGGGCUUCGCCUAAGCACUACAACGAUAUGAUCGAGGUGGAAUAUGGUGGCAGGGGGCACCGCACACGGCUAAGGAACGAUCUCAAUGAUCAACUUGUGUGUCUAGAGGUGCCCCCUGCCUCCGUAUAUAAAGGAGCCAAGGGGGAGGGUGCGUCCGGCCAGGAGGAGGACGCAGGAGGAGUCCUACUCCUACCGGGAGUAGGACUCCCCCCCCAAUCCUAGUUGGACUAGGUUUCCCCAAGGGGGAAAGAGAGAGAGGGGGGCCGACCACCUCUCCUAGUCCUAAUUGGACUAGGGGAGGGGGGAGGCGCGCGGCCACCUUGGGCUGCCCCUUUCUCCUUUCCACUAAAGCCCAUUAUGGCCCAUAUGAUUCCCGGGGGGUUCCGGUAACCUCCCGGUACUCCGGUAAAAUCCCGAUUUCACCCGGAACACUUCCGAUAUACAAAUAUAGGCUUCCAAUAUAUCAAUCUUUAUGUCUCGACCAUUUCGAGACUCCUCGUCAUGUCCGUGAUCACAUCCGGGACUCCGAACUAACUUCGGUACAUCAAAAUGCAUAAACUCAUAAUAACUGUCAUCGUAACGUUAAGCGUGCGGACCCUACGGUUCGAGAACAAUGUAGACAUGACCGAGACACGUCUCCGGUCAAUAACCAAUAGCGGGACCUGGAUGCCCAUAUUGGAUCCUACAUAUUCUACGAAGAUCUUUAUCGGUCAGACCGCAUAACAACAUACGUUGUUCCCUUUGUCAUCGGUAUGUUACUUGCCCGAGAUUCGAUCGUCGGUAUCUAAUACCUAGUUCAAUCUCGUUACCGGCAAGUCUCUUUACUCGUUCCGUAAUACAUCAUCUCACAACUAACAUAUUAGUUGCAGUGCUUGCAAGGCUUAUGUGAUGAGCAUUACCGAGAGGGCCCAGAGAUACCUCUCCGACAAUCGGAGUGACAAAUCCUAAUCUCGAAAUACGCCAACCCAACAUCUACCUUUGGAGACACCUGUAGAGCUCCUUUAUAAUCACCCAGUUACGUUGUGAUGUUUGGUAGCACACAAAGUGUUCCUCCGGUAAACGGGAGUUGCAUAAUCUCAUAGUCAUAGGAACAUGUAUAAGUCAUGAAGAAAGCAAUAGCAACAUACUAAACGAUCGGGUGCUAAGCUAAUGAAAUGGGUCAUGUCAAUCAGAUCAUUGAACUAAUGAUGUGACCUCGUUAAUGAAAUAACAACACAUUGUUCAUGGUUAGGAAACAUAACCAUCUUUGAUUAACGAGCUAGUCUAGUAGAGGCAUACUAGUGACACUAAGUUUGUCUAUGUAUUCACACAUGUAUUAUAUUUCCGGUUAAUACAAUUCUAGCAUGAAUAAUAAACAUUUAUCAUGAUAUAAGGAAAUAAAUAAUAACUUUAUUAUUGCCUCUAGGGCAUAUUUCCUUCAUAAAUACCCCAAAAUACCAUAACCCUAGGGGAAUCGACGAAAUAUUCAUCCAGCCGCCGCAGAGUUCAGAACCACCAGAUCCAAUCUAUACACUAUCUCGGAUGGGGUUCACCACCUCCAUUGGUGCCUCUCCGAUGAUGCGUGAGUAGUUCUUUAUAGACCUUCGGGCCCGUAGUUAGUAGCUAGAUGGCUUUCUCUCUCUCACUGAAUUCUCAAUACAAUGGUCUCUUGGAGAUCCAUAUGAUGUAACUAUUUUUGCGGUGUGUCUGUUGGGAUCUGAUGAACUUUGAGUUUAUGAUCAGUCAUAUCUUUUUAUAUCCGUGAAAGUUAUUUGAGUUUCUUUGAUCUCUUAUAUGCAUGAUCUCUUAUAGCACUAGUGCAGAACCGGGCUUUAGUCCCGGUCCGUAAAGGCCUUUAGUGCCGGUUCCACAACCAGCACUAAAGGCCCCCCUUUAGUAUCGGUUCGGCACGAACCGGCGCUAAAGUGCCACCACGUGGCACGAGCCAGGCCACGGGUGCGGUAGAUCAUUAGUACUGGUUGGUAACAUCAACCGGUACUAAAUGUUUGUGGGUUUUGGUUUUAUUUUUUAUUUUUCCUUUAAAUUUGUGUUAUCAAUUUAAUUUAGGAUUGUUUUACGUUAUAAUGAGUUGUUAUACUUGAUAUGGAUAUGGAUAUGGCAUAUAUAUAUACUUGAUCACUUAGCUAGGAUCCAUCCAGUUCAAAUUAAUUUGCGGUUUCUUUCAUAAAUGAUAUAUAUAAUAACUCAUCAUCAUCAUCACAUAUUAAUAAAUAAAUAAACUCUUGCAUCAUAUCAUCACCAACAACAGUAUAUAUAUAUACACUAGCUAGCUAAAAAUCAUCGUAGUAGUCAUUAAUUACUACUAUUUAAUCAUCAUAGUCAUUACCGCUAUCUAAUCACCACCAACACUAGCUUAAAGAAGAAACAUUCACUUGUAAUAGAAGCAAAGAUAUCAUCGAGUUCAACAUGGUCAUGAUAUUAUAAGCGUUCACAAGCAAAUCACUAUUUGAGAUUAAUUAAGUUCAGGACAAUACGGACAUGACAGAGGACAAGUACUAAGAGCAUGAACUAGCUAAAUCACUUCUGCUGCUCCCUCUCAGGUAGAAUAGCAUAGAACAUGUAUAGCUCUCCUGAUUCAUCAUACUGGAGCAUGCAGAUGAAUCUGUCUCCUAAUCUUGGGUUGCGCUUCUCCUUGCUGCCCCCUAGUACUUCUCUGCGAUCGUUAACAAUUUUGCUCCAAUCUUUCACUAUUAAGCAUUCAUCGCUUUCAGAAAUCCUGAAUGCACUCAUGUGCAAUGUAGGAAAUCUUGGUCGUAAGCUAACCAUUGACAUGCGACCUUUUGUCUCGAUCCACUGAGGCACAACUGUCAUCGGGAGUCCCUGUUGAAGAACAUCGUAUAGUAAUUAAUAUACUUAGCAAUGAAAGUUUAGCUUCAAAAAUAAUGUAUCCAAAGGAUGCACUAAGGACAAAUAGUAAAAAUCUUACCAUCUUUCGAUUAUAGAUGUGACCGUAGUUCAAUACGAUCACUAUUGGUCGCACGUUUUGAGUACUAACAUUUCUAAGUCCAGGAAGAAAAAUUUGUCUUGACAUUAUGAAGAUCCUCAAGCCAUGAAACAUAAUGACUUAUCUCCUCGCAGUUUAGUUCAGCCCCGGGCAGUAGUAGGUCCUGUCUACCAAGCGCCGGACAUGUUUGCUUGAACCGAAAUAAGCUGACAAUACAAAUUAGUUGUCAACUAUUUUUGAAUAAACAAUAUCAAAGACAUAAACAUAUGCAUGCAUGGUUGAGAAAAACUCACAUAAUGGUAGAACUGGAGGCAUUUGCACAUCGACCCAGAUGUCUCUAUUACCUUCAAUAUCAUCUUCCGGGCGAAUAUCAAAGGUGAUAACCAUAUCAGGCUCAAAUGCAUAAGCCUUGCAUAGUGUUUGCCAAGUUUUGCAUUCAAAAUGGGUGUAUGUGUCUCCAUUGUAUAAUUUGACGUUGAAAGCAUACCCAUGCUCGGUCUUCAAGUAACUCUCUUUACCUCCAUAUCAUAUAUAGCACUAAAACCUAUCUUAUCCAAGACAAAAAUUCUUGCAUGGCAGGGGAUGCGCUAGUAGAAUAGUAAAAAUUUAAAAUUAUAAGUUGAAGCAAAUGAAGCAUAAGUCAUGCUUUAAAAUUAUAAGUUGAAGCAAAUGAAGCAUAAGUUUUGCAUUCAAAUAAUAAUUGUCGUUGUGACUUACUGUAUCCACUUCGAAUGUCUCAUCCAGCUUGAUGCUGAAGCGCCUACCAUCAACAAGGAAAUUUCUGUCGCACAGGCCGCGCUGGUCUUCACAGUGUUCGCACAUAAUGAAAUCUUUUUCGUCGACAGAUGACAUUUCCUAUGUUCAUAUAGGUGAAACAUUAAACACUUAUUACUAUCUAACAUUAAUUAAUAUCUAGCUAAUUCAAAUAUAUAUUCAUCUAAUAUUUGACAUUAAUAUAUCUAACUAUAUUCAUCUCUAACAAUUGACUUUACUAUAUAUUUAACUUUUAUAUCUAAUUCAUCUAACAUUCGACAUUAAUCUAACAUUUAUAUAAACUAAAAAUAUAUAAAAAAUUAAAUAAACAGAAAAACUCAUUAACAAAUAAUAUUUUAAUUAGAUCAUCAAAUCUCAGAUACCUAAAUUUUCUUACUAAAAAUAAACUAGUUAUAUAAAUUAUUCAACUAGUUCAAAUCUCAUAUACCUAAAUAAACUAGUUCGAUUAUUUUCUUACUGAAAAUAAACUAGUUAUAUUAAUUAUUCAAUUAGUUCAAAUCUCAUAUGCUUAAAUAAACUAGUUCGACANNNNNNNNNNNNNNNNNNNNNNNNNNNNNNNNNNNNNNNNNNNNNNNNNNNNNNNNNNNNNNNNNNNNNNNNNNNNNNNNNNNNNNNNNNNNNNNNNNNNNNNNNNNNNNNNNNNNNNNNNNNNNNNNNNNNNNNNNNNNNNNNNNNNNNNNNNNNNNNNNNNNNNNNNNNNNNNNNNNNNNNNNNNNNNNNNNNNNNNNNNNNNNNNNNNNNNNNNNNNNNNNNNNNNNNNNNNNNNNNNNNNNNNNNNNNNNNNNNNNNNNNNNNNNNNNNNNNNNNNNNNNNNNNNNNNNNNNNNNNNNNNNNNNNNNNNNNNNNNNNNNNNNNNNNNNNNNNNNNNNNNNNNNNNNNNNNNNNNNNNNNNNNNNNNNNNNNNNNNNNNNNNNNNNNNNNNNNNNNNNNNNNNNNNNNNNNNNNNNNNNNNNNNNNNNNNNNNNNNNNNNNNNNNNNNNNNNNNNNNNNNNNNNNNNNNNNNNNNNNNNNNNNNNNNNNNNNNNNNNNNNNNNNNNNNNNNNNNNNNNNNNNNNNNNNNNNNNNNNNNNNNNNNNNNNNNNNNNNNNNNNNNNNNNNNNNNNNNNNNNNNNNNNNNNNNNNGGGCGACGGGCGACGACGACAGACGGCGGCGGCGUUCGGGGCAGCGACGACGACGGGCGACGGGCGGCGACACGACGGCGACGGGAUCGAGCGGCGCGCGCGGUUGGAGAGACGAAGUGGGGGAUGAAACUGAAAAUUUCGUAAGUGCUAUAUAUAUAGGAUGGGCCUUUAGUACCGGUUGGUGGCCCCAACCGGUACUAAAGGCCUAUUUUCGCCAGGCCAAGCGGCGGGAACCGUUGGCCUUUAGUACCGGUUGGGGCCAUCAACCGGUACUAAAGGCAUGACCUUUAGUACCGGUUGGAGCCACCAACCGGUACUAAAGGCCUUGCGCUGCCACCCGCGGUGCAUAAAGUUUAGUCCCACCUCGCCGGGCGAAGGGCAGCCGCACUGGUUUAUAAACCCAGCCGCGGCUGCCUCUUUGAACUCCUCUAUAUAGCAGGCUUCUGGGCCUAACUUCUGCGCGCUGCCCUGUGAGUCUGUUGGGCCUUUAGGGCCUGUAAUUGCACGCUCGUGGCCUAGCAGGCCCACAGGGCAGCGCCCCAAUUUUUUUAUAGUUUUUUUCUUUUCUGCUUUAUUUUCUUCUAUUUAUUUAUGCGUAGUUUUUUGUAUAGUUUUUUCUUUUCUGUUAUAUUUAUUUUCUUCUAUUUAUUUGUGAGUAUUUUUAUCUAGUUUGCCAAAAUUCAACAUUUUCAGAGUUCAUUUUGUACUGAUUUUCAAUUUCACGGUCAUUUGGCUCUCUAAACAAAUCAGUAAACGAAUGAAAAAUAGCAAAUAUAGUUUUUUUCUUUUCUACUUUAUUUUUUCUUCUAUUUAUUUCUGAGUAGUUUUUUUCUUUUCUCCUAUAUUUAUUUUCUUCUAUUUAUUUCUGAGUAGUUUUUUAUAUAGUUUUUUUCUUUUCUGCUAUAGUUUUUUUUUCUUUUCUGCUAUUUUUUCUUUUCUGCUUUAUUUAUUUUCUUCUAUUCAUUUAUUUUUAUAUACCAUGCCAAGUUGAUAGUUAAAACUUGAUGGUCAAAGUCUGGAGUUAUAACCAAAGUUUAAAAAAAUGAAAUGCCGAAGUGCAACUAGUUUUUGUCAUAACAGAAGAAGUCCGGAGUUGUAAUAAGUUAUUAAAAAUAAAAAAGAGGUGCAAUGCUCAUUAAUUAGCUUCAAGCCUUUCGGAAUAGUGUAAACUGCACUGCACAUAGCUCCGUGCAGUCUACCAUAUUCCUCAAAGCUUGAAGCUAAGCAAUGUGAGCAUUGAGCCUCUUCUUCAUCGUCUCUGCACUCAGGGCUUAUAAACCACUCCUAGUCCCUCUCUCUUCGCGAGGUGGGACUAAAAAACAACUUACUAAGAAACUGUAGAACUGGUUCAUGCCAUAAACCGGUACUAAAGGUGCUCGUGGGGCCCUAGCCUUACCUGACACAACCUUAUUAGUACCAGUUCGUGGCACGAACCGGUGCUAAAGGUUCGCCAUGAACCGGUACUAAAGAGCUCCUCCCGCCUAGCAGUUGGAACCGGUACUAAAGAGCUCCUCCCGCCUAGCAGUUGAAUGGUGCAUACUGAAUGCACAAAAAGUCUGGAGUUGUAAUAAGUUUAAAAAAAUGAAAUGCCUUUGUAACAGAUGAGUUUAAUUUCGCCAGAAACCCGAAUACUUCGAAAGAUAUUGUCCAGUUUGCAAACGAAGUGCAUCUAGUUUUUGCCGUAACCCUCUCUACUUUUUUGAAUAUGAUAUGUGGGUAAAAUAAUGAUACGAUGCCAAGUUUCAACUUUUUCAGAGUUCAUUUGUAGUGCUUUUCAAUUUCCAGGUCAUUUAGUUCCCAAAACAAAUCAUUAAAUGCAUGAAAAAUAGCAAAUGAAGGCAUAAAUGGUUGAAAGUUGAUGGCGUCGCUUUGAAUGGUGCAUACUGAACGCAAAAAAUAUAGGAGCAUUUAGAUCAUGAUCUUAUAUUUCUUUAUAGUCUGAAUUGUCAAUAUGAUCUUAUACAUCAAAAAUACUUUGAUCAUCAAUGAUCUUUUUGUGUACAAUCUGAAUUGUCAAUAUGAGUCCUCAACGAUUUGUAAACCGGUGAAGACUCAUAUUGCGGCCACAAAUUCUACACAUAGAGUUCAAUGAAGACCAAGUGCUUGUGAUAGUUUGAGAAGUAACAUAUUUAAGGCGGUAAAAGCCUUGUUAGGGGAGCGAGGUGGGACUAAGAACAGCUUGCCAUAACCUCAUUAGUACCGGUUCAUGGUACGAACCGGCACUAAAUGGUGAUGGUGGGGCCAUAGCCUGACCGCAGGCUGCCACAGCCUCUUUAGUACCGAUUCGUGGCAUGAACUGGUACUAAAGGUUCGCCACGAACCGGUACUAUUGAUCGCCGCCACGAACCGGUACUAUUGAUCAUAUUAGUGCCGGUUUUUUACAAACCGGCACUAAUGUGCUUCACAUUUGACCCUUUUUCUACUAGUGUAGCCUCGUAUUUCUUCUCCGGUAUUUGGGUUUUGUUUGGCCAACUUGAUUUAUUUAUUUUGCAAUGGGAAGAGGUGCCCGAUAGUGGGUUCGAUCUUACGGUGCUUGAUCCUAGUGACAAAAAGGGAAUCGACACAUAUGUAUCGUUGCUACUAAGGAUAAAAACAUGGGAUCUAUAUCUACGCAAUAGAUAAAUGGAUCUUGUCUACAUCAUGUCAUCGUUCUUAUUGCAUUACUCCGUUUUUCCAUGAAAUUAAUACACUAGAUGCAUGUUAGAUAGCGGUCGAUGUGUGGAGUAAUAGUAGUGUAAUAGUAGUAGAUGCAGGUAGGAGUCGGUCUACUAAUCUUGGACGUGAUGCCUAUGUAAUGAUCAUUGUCUGGAUAUCAUCAUAAUUAUUUGAGGUUCUAUCAAUUGCCCAACAGUAAUUUGUUUACCACCGUUUGCUAUUUUUCUCGAGAGAAGCCACUAGUGAAACUUACGAUCCCCGGGUCUUCUUCGUCAUAUAUUUGCUUGCGAUCUACUUUUUCUUUGCAUUUUUAUUCAGAUCUAUUAAACCAAAAAUACAAAAAUACUUUCCUGCACUUUAUUUUAUUUGUGAUCUAUUAUUUCAAUCUACUACAAAUUUUUGGUAUCUUUACCCGAAAGGGAUUGACAACCCCUUUAACAUGUCGGAUUGCGAGGUGUUGUUAUCUAUGUGCAGGUGCUGUUUACGUUGUGUUGCCUGGUUCUCCUACUGGUUCGAUAACCUUGGUUUCUUCACUAAGGGAAAUACCUACCGUCGCUGUGCUGCAUCAUCCCUUCCUCUUUGGGGAAAUACUGACGUAGUCCUAGCAGACAGGAGCUUUUAUGGGGCUAUAGUCAGAGAGCGAUCAAGGGCUAGUGAGAUACCACUAUUGUCAUAUUAUAUCAUGGUUGUUUUGAUAACGUGUUGCCGUUUGAGAUAUCUUAUUAUUGCUCGCUAGUUGAUUAUGUCAUUGAUAUGAAUUAAUACAAUUUUAAGAGUUAUUGUUGGCAUGGUUAGUUAUAAUGAUUGGCUGAAAACCUGGGUGCUGUUUAAGCUUAUUUAUGCAAACAAGAGCAAAAGAGUUCAUAAAAGUUUUACUUUUUCACUUUCAGUUUAUCAACUGAAUUGCUUGAGGACAAGCAAAGAUUUAAGCUUAGGGAGUUGAUACGUCUCCAACGUAUCUACUUUUUCUAACACUUUUCCUCUUGUUUUAGACUCUAAUUUGCAUGAUUUGAAUGAAACUAACCCCGGACUGACGCUGUUUUCAGCAGAACUACCAUGGUGUUGUUUAUGUGCAGAAAUAAAAGUUCUCGGAAUGGAACGAAACUUUGCGAGGAUUUUGUAUGCAAAAUAAGAGAAUUUCUGGAGCCAAGAACCACCAGAGGGGGGCACCUGGGUGGGCACAACCCACCAAGGCGCGCCCCCCUCUAGGCGCGCCCAGGUGGGUUGUCCCCACAUGGUGGCCCCGCGGACCCAGAAACCUAUGCUAUAAAAUCCUAUUUUUGGAGAAAAAACAGGGAAAAAUAAUUAUCGCAUUUCACGAGACGGAGCCGUUGUCACCUCCUGUUCUUCGCCGGGAGGCCCGAUCUGGAGUCUGUUUGGGGCUCCGGAGAGGGGGAUCUUCGUUCUUGUCAUCACCAACCCUUCUCCAUCGCCAAUUCCUGAUGCUCCCCACCGGGAGUGAGUAAUUCCUUCGUAGGCUCGCUGGUCGGUGAGGAGUUGGAUGAGAUUCAUCAUGUAAUCGAGUUAGUUUUGUUAGGGCUUGAUCCCUAGUAUCCACUAUGUUCUGAGAUUGAUGUUGCUAUGACUUUGCCAUGCUUAAUGCUUGUCACUUUUGGUCCGGGUGCCAUGAUUUCAGAUCUGAACCGUUUAUGUUAUCACCAUUAUAUCCAUGUUCUAGAUUCGAUCUUGCAAGUUAUAGUCACCUACUACGUGUUAUGAUCCGGCAACUCCGGAGUGACAAUAGACGGGACCAUUCCCGGUGAUGACCGUAGUUUGAGGAGUUCAUGUAUUCAUCGUGUGUUAAUGCUUUGUUUCGGUUCUCUAUUAAAAGGAGGCCUUAAUAUCCCUUAGUUUCCAAUAGGAUCCCGCUGCCACGGGAGGGUAUGACAAAAGAUGUCAUGCAAGUUCUUUCCAUAAGCACGUAUGACUAUUUACGGAAUACACGCCUACAUUAUAUUUAUAAAUUGGAGCUAGUGCCAUAUCGCCCUAGGUUAUGACUGUCACAUGAUGAAUAUCAUCUAACAAAUUAUCGAUCCAAUGCCUACGAAUUUAUCUUAUAUUGUUCUUGCUAAGUUACUACUGCUACUGUUACUGUUACUGUUGCACUUGCUACAAAAUCACCGCUAACACUGUUACCGUUAUUAUUGCUGCUACUGCUACUAUCAAAACUAUCAUACUACUUUUCUACUGAUCGCUUGCUGUAGAUAAUUAAUCUUCGGGAGUGGUUGAAUUGACAACUCAACUGCUAAUACUUACAAAUAUUCUUUGGCUCCCCUUGUGUCGAAUCUAUAAAUUUGGGUUGAAUACUUUACCCUCGAAAACUGUUGCGAUCCCCUAUACUUGUGGGUUAUCAACGCACACACACGCACGCGCGCGCACACACACACACACACACACACACACACACACACCGCACGCCCAUGGCCAGAAACAACGGCAACUCGGUAGGCGAGCGCGGCGAUUGGCUCGGUCGGGAGCGGCGCGGCGCGCACACGGCGGCGGUGGCAGCAGCAAGCGGCCGCAUCGCAGCUAGCAGCGCGCGGGUGGGGGUGGUGGUGGGGUGGGUGCCGGCGACUUGGGGGCGCCGGAUGCCCGCCCCGUGGCCAUCGGCGCCGUGGACGGGUGCCCCGCGUCCACGGGGGCGCAGUGAACAGGGGAAGGGGACAGGGAGGCCAGAUGGGCUGGGCUGGCUACUGUGCUAGCUGGGCCGAAGUGCACAGUAGCACUUCACCAUUUCCCUUUUUCUUUUCUUUUUCUUUAUUUUUUCUGUUUCUUUAUUCAUUUACUGUUUCUAUUUUAUUUCAAUAGCAAAAUAAAUUUGUUGCUUCUGAGCAGGCACUAUUUUGAGUCAUAUAUAAUUAGUUGCAAUUUAUUUGAAAGUUCUACACAUUUAUUUAUAUUAAAUUGGUUUAAAUAAAAUGCCAUUGGACUAGUUUUAAAUAGCUAAGGGGCAUUUUAAUAUUUUGUAAAAUAUUGAUUCUUUCAUUACAACUAGUUAGUGAAUAUUUACAACCCAGCGAACAUUUUUUUACCGCUUGAAGAAAUAAUUAUUUGACUUUAUUUGACUUUGAAUUCGGUUUGGAUCAAAGUGAGGUUUAGAAGAUUAAUUGCGAUGACAUGGCACCAUUAGUGUGUGUGUUUUUUGUCGCUUAACUAUCAGGGUGUUACACAUGAGCCCCGGGAACUGACUUUUUGCCUUCUCCAUUUCCGCCUCGACGCUCUCCAGCUCCGCCUCCGGAGUCCCGGGAAGUGAAGUUGUCCGCCUCCAUGUCGUUGCCAUGCGGUUAAUCGACCAAAAAUGUUCAGUCCAUCAAGCUUGGCAUCAACGGGAUGGGAAGAGCGGUGGCCUUCUUGGGACCCGAGCGGCGAUGACCUACCAUGCACUACUCUUCCUCGCUAUCGGUGGUGCUCGUGGACGUGCCAACUUCGUGGUCAUGGCAGCGGGGUGUGGCCUCGACGCUGCCGGCGAUGUCCUUUGCCUCGUUGUCGGUCUUGCCCCACACUUCGUCGAACUCCUUGUAGGCGGCCUUUAGUUCCGCCUGACGCUGGCGAAUCUCACGGGUGGAGCGGUACGACUCGAGCAACGCCUCCUGCUCUGCCAUGUCAGCAUCCGACGUGAUCUCCCUGCCGGCGCUGAGCCGCUCCUCCGCCUGUUGGUGCUCUUGGAGGAGCUGGAGGUUGUAGGCUGUGUCGGCCUGCGCCUCCUGAAAUUGCUCCUCCCGCACAAUGUGCAUGUAACGGGCACGGGCCUCACCGAUGGUCAUGAUGCAAUGCAGCGGCGUUGUUGGUGCCAGCGAAGAGGGCGGCGCCAGCUCGUCCUUGGCUGCAUUCUCCAUUGAGACGUCGUCAACCUCUGGCCGGCUGCCGGCUUGCCAGCCGGUAGCAAUGGCAGCCAUCUCUUUCUCUGCUCCGGUGACAGUUCAUCCCAGAGAGCUUGGCGCGUGAGGAGGUGAUGGUGGGAGUGGUGCGAAAAAGGAGAAAGGGACUGGAGGAGGAUGAAUGCGGCUAUGUCGGGGCUGUAGUUUAUAUAGCAAGUGAAUGACAAUGACGGGUGGCAAAGGGAUGGACGGGUGGCACCAGAAUAGGUUCCUCGGCAACUGCACGACAUUAAUGUGGGCGACAGACGGACGAACAGAUGGUCAUGGUGUCGUUUCAAUGCGGAGCAGCCGCGUGCACCGGGAAGCGAUGCAUCCGGCGCUCUCUCGGCCGGCGCCAGUGAGUGGUCGCGACCGCUCUGACCAGGCAUGAGUGUGACACUGACGCUCUGAAGCGGCGCUGACCAUUGUGGGCGGGAAGUGCGGGCUGGCGAGGGAGGGGGUUUGGGUGGGGCAGGGCGAUUAGACGUAGGCGUGGCAGCGGUCUAGCCGCCCGCAAAGCCCUCCACGACUGUCUUCGGUUUAUGGGAGAAAACACGCCCGUACCACUCGGCGGACCGAUACAGGUCCGCAUUGGAUGGCACAACAUGUCCGAAUGGCACAGUCGAGGUGUGUGCGGGCGGCUUGAGAGUGGGCAUCGGAGAUGCCUUUACAGCAUGCGGGCUCCAAACAACAGAAAGGAAGUACUAUGUUCAAAUCACUUAUUACUACAAGACAGCAGCAGAGGCUUCAUCGAUUUAAUUUUCUGGGAAUAAUUAACACAUCAUUGAGCGAGAAUCUAUAGUCUUCUCGUUGAUAUAAUUUUCUCGGAAUAAUUAGUUCAGUAAUGUGGUUGAACGUUAUAAUCUGUUGUCUUGCUCGAUUGAAUUGGCAAUGGAAUAAUUAAUACAGUAAUGUGGUUGAGCAAUGUUGUCUUGCUCGAUUGAAUUGGCAAUGGAAUAAUUAAUACAGUAAUGUGGUUGAGCAAUGAGUCACGGCCAGUGAUUUCCCAUCCACGACAUCCGAUCCAUGACUGAACUCUCCGGCGCUCUUCUCAGGCCGUCCACGCAACCUGGGGUACGAAAAGUCAAGGUUGCUUCCAAUACAUGACUACUAGCCCUCGUUCCUCAUACAAGUCUUCUUUUUGCGGAAAGUGGUCUCAAGUCGCGACUCCCUGCCUGAGUCAAAUUCUACAAGGCUUUUUUCAAUAAAUGACCCAUCCAGUAUUAUAUUUGCGACAAGGUUUUUUUAAUAAAUGAUCCAUCUAGUAUUAUAUAUUUGCGACAAGGUUUUUUUUAAUAAAUGAUCCAUCUAUACUAGUAGUAUAUAUUUGCCCAUGCCUGUGCGUCAAUCGGGACAAAAGAUGGAAGACUCUGAAAGAAAUAGUGCAGGAGACUGGGAGUUGGAGGAUUCCACCAGCGAAAAGCCGCCCUACAAGCUCCCGGCGAGGAUAUCCAGGAUGCUUUACCCGUUCCAGCUCCAGGGGCUCAGAUGGCUUUGGUUUCUGCACUGCAGGGGGACCGGUGGCAUUCUCGGGGAUGAUAUGGGGCUGGGGAAGACCAUUCAGGUUGGGUCCCAAGCUAACUCAUUUUGCAUUCCCCUUCAUUCCAAUCUCAAUCUCUAGUCUCAGUUGCAGUCGAUUCGGUUCAUUUGAUUGCUUUUCUUCAGAAUAAUCUGAUUGAUUAUAACUUUACCAGUUUUGUAGUAUCGCAGGACUGUAACCAUUGAUUACGCCUACUUCGCCGCUUAAGCGUACUGCAAUUUAAUUAUCUGGUAAUGUUUACUUUUACCGUGCAGGUUUCUGCCUUCCUUGCCGGAUUGUUCCAUUCGGGUUUAAUCAGGAGAGUGUUGGUUGUUGUUCCAAAGACACUUGUGACUCACUGGAUCAGAGAACUUACACUUGUUGACCUCGAAAGCAACAUCAGGGAGUAGGAUAUAUGCACCACCUACCUAUUCAUAUCAUCUCUUUUGAUCAGCGAGUAGGAUAAACAUAUGCACCACUUACCUAUUCAGGACUCAUUGAUUCUUUUUUUUUUCCAUCUGUUUACAGCUGCUCUUGUCCCGACGUAAAUGUUCGCAAGUCUGAGCUCCAGUACGCAUUCAAGGUUCAUUAAAUUCCUUAGAUAAAAUUCCGCUGGUCAUUUAUAUCCUGCCAUUUUAUCUAGUAACUGUUAAAUUUGGUUGAACAGAGUUCCAUUUAAAAGAAUGCAUAUGAUGUUUUUCCAAGAUAUUUUUAUGAGUUGCAUCUGAUGUUUAUUGUCUUCUACAGGAGGGUGGUGUCCUAUUGACAACAUAUGACAUUGUCUGGAAAUAUUACAACACGAUAAGAGGUGACUUCUACCAUGACGUCGGUGACGAUGAGGAGGGGAACUUAUGGAACUAUGUUGUUCUCGACGAGGCACAUUUAAUCAAAAACCCCAAGACACAAAGAUUCCAAAGAAUAUCUGAAAUACCGUGUGUCCAUCGGAUUGCCAUCAGUGGAACACCUAUACAAAAUAACUUGGAGGUACCACCUAAAAGACUCCUACUCUAAUUUAAUACCACUAUAUGCUUAUGCUUAAUAUGCCCCCCCCUCCCCCCCAAAUAUUAUUUUCCAAUGCAAGUAAUUAAAUAUGUGUAUUCUCUUACAGGAAAUGUGGGCUCUUUUCUAUUUCUGUUGUCCGGAAGUCCUGGGUGAUAGGGAUGAGUAAUUCACUUACUCUAUUGUUAUUCUCAAAAUAAAAAACUUACUCUAUUGUUUUCCUGCAAUAAUGAUGUUCCUUUAUUUAUUUUGCAUUGUCCACUACUAUUUAUUUAUCUAAAUUAUGCAUGACAGGUUUAGAGAAAGGUAUGAAAAUUAUAUCAAUCGAGGAAAUGAAAAGGAUGCCACCAAUCCAGAGAAGCACAUAGGCUCAAACGUAGCCAAGGUGAUUGUCUUUUUUUUUUUGUAUUUGUGUCCAAGCGAAAGAUGAUACACAAGCCUUGUUUCUUGUUUUCUGUGUUUCUGUCCAAGAAAUGACAAAAAACGCAGUGUUCAACAUAUUAGUACAGUAAGAUCUCAUGGUGUUCGAUAAAUUCCAACAUGCACAUUCACAGUACAUUUCGUUAUUACCAUUUUAUUCAGAUAUUUCAAGUUGGACAUCAACUCAGUUUUGUAUUACACAUAUUGCACAUUCACAGUACAUUAGCAAAGUAGUACAUUCAUCUCUGAAAUUGACAUGCGAACAAGCAAUGUCUAUAAACUGCAUUAAAAUUCCUUACUAACUUAACGUCCGCAUUUAGUUGAAGCUAUGAGAUAGAAAGUCGUGCACUUAUAUCAAGCCAUCUCAGCUUGCUACAUUUCGUUCUAGAAAUGUUAUCUAUUUUUCUGAAUUAUUAUUUGAAACGGGUCAUACUAAACCAGUCACACUUUCUGUUUUCUUGUUUGAUACGUCACAGGAAUUAAGAGAACUGAUAAAGCCUUAUUUCUUGCGUCGUAUGAAAGAUGAAGUGUACUUUGCUACUAGCUUGACAAAUGAGAAUACGCUUCCUAAGAAAAAUGAGCUAAUCAUCUGGCUGAAAUUAACAGAUUACCAGGUACAAAUUUUUGUGUCAUUGAUGAGAAACUGGUUGAGUAAUUGGCAGAUGACAAUGUUUCAAUUGCCUUCUUUGUGUGCAGAGGAAACUAUAUGAAGGUUUUCUGAACAGUCAUAUAUUUAAUAAAAUGCGACCUCGCUUGCUGGACAUCACUGUAAGUAUCGGCUUAAAACCCAUUUCUUCUCACUGAUGUUGUUUACUGUCCACGAAUAUACCCAUAUUCGUACGAAAAUAUACCUUUCUACUGAUGUUUUCUCUAUCAGAUUACACCCAAAAAUUAAAUGGAAAGAGCAUAUAUUUAUAUCACAGGAUGUGUUUGUUAAUUAUAUGGCCUACUUUAUAAUUGCUUUUGAUGUAAAUGUUCUUUUUGUGAAAUUCUGCUUGUUUCAUUUUUGUUGUUGUUCUUCAACAGAUAUUGAAGAACAUAUGUGAUCACCCAGACCCACUGAUAUUGAAAAAAGUUGCUGCUGAGGGCACCUUGGAAGGCAUGGAAGAUAUGGAUGGAAAAUUAAAUGGUCAUGAUAUGGCGAGGCUCAAAAACAUGGCCUUGAACGUUGCUGGUUAUGAUGAUGAUGCACUGCAAGUUGGCCAGCUGGAAGUCUCAUGCAAAUUAUCUUUCAUCAUGUCCUUGUUGGUAAACAUUCUUUGAUGCAUGCUCAUAUGAGUUGUCAGAAAUGUACUCCAUAUUUGUUUAUUUAAACUAAAUGUGGCUAGUGCCUGAUGUUGUAGAAAAAUCUUCUUGAAGAGGGACAUCAUGUUCUAAUUUUUUCUCAGACUCGCAAAAUGCUAAACAUUGUUCAGGUCAGUUCUUGUGAAUAUGUCAGUUAUCAUAAUUUGCAUGUAGCUCAUGCUGUGUUUUGAUAUGCUGUAAUAAAAAGCGGAGUUAAUUUUAUAUAUCAUUUGUUGCUUUUGUUUAUUAAUAUACAUGAUAAACAAUGCUGAUUGAGUGAAUGGCAGAUUUCUCUUAGUGUAUAUAUAUAUUUUAAAACCAAAAUUACAAUUCGUUGGGAUAAAAAUGGUAUGACAACAUGACCCGUGGACUGUGGUGUUUGUCAUCUUUGAUCUUCUGCCAUAUUUCUUUUAGAAAAAAAGUAUAUCAAGUGCAUAAAAGAACAUAAACUAAAUGUGGCUAAACCGCUAAAGUCAUCUUUGGAUCAUUUGGAGGAAAAUUGUUGUGCUCUUCAAUUUAAAUGUAAUUCUGGAUGAGUAUGUCUAUAAUCAUCAUUUCUUAAAUGUGGAUGCUUACCUACAUUCUGUGUUGUAACAUUCGAUUAUUGCAACAGGAAGCUAUAUCAUUAAAGGGCUACAGGUUUUUUCGCAUCGAUGGUACCACCAAGAUUUCAGCAAGGGAAAGGAUUGUGAAGGUUCUUGUUCCCAUUUCACAAUAUUCUUAUGCCGUGGUGUGCCAUGGACUCAAUUAUAUAUGAUAUGUUGCUUUAAUUUUAUGCAAUUGCAUCUCCAGGGUUUCCAAGAGGAUUUUGGAACUCAAAUAUUUUUACUGACUACCAAAGUCGGUGGUCUUGGACUUACACUCACCAAGGCAGAUCGUGUCAUAGUAGUUGGUCCUGAUUGGAAUCCAAGGUACCCCAACUUUCUUUUGGUUUUAUGAGAUACAAGUUCUUUUACUGCGUAACACAAUCUUCUUUUUCAGUAUUGACAAUCAAAGUGUCGAUCGUGCCUAUCGAAUAGGACAGACAAAAGAUGUGAUUGUAUACCGCUUGAUGACGGCUGGAACCAUCGAAGAAAAGAUAUAUAGAACGCAGGUUUGAAUAUGAUCCGACAUUUUUUACUCAGACAUUAUUUUUUAUAUGAUAUCUGAAGCUUGAAGUUCCUUGAGUUGAAUAAUUAUUUUUUCCAGAUUUUCAAGUGGGGUUUGUUUAGGACAGCGACUGAGCAGAAAGAACAAACACGCUACUUCAACCAGAGGGUAACAUAGUGAUCCUGAUUACAUUGUUGCUCAUCAUUCAUGGAUUGCAUGAUGUCCUACUAGAUAUAAACAAUGGCUGAUAAUAUCACAUGUGUAUGUAUCUUCAGGACAUUCAGGAGCUUCUCAGUCUGCCAGCACAAGGUUUCGAUGUUUCCUCCACGCAGAAGCAAUUGCAAACAGAGCAUGAACAGCAGCUUGACAUGUAAGACAAUUGUUUUGUUCGACUAAAUCUGAUGAUGUCAACAGUAUUGCUUUUCGAUGUUCCAUACAUAUUUAACGUAAAUAUGAACUGAAACUAGUUUUAACCAUCACCUACUAUAUUAUCUGGGUAAACAUACACAUCAAAAUCUCGAGGUCCCCCUUGGACUUCUUUAAACAUUUUGACAUGCAGAUUUUUCGAUAAAGGGUAGAUUUUAUUGGCUCAAAUUGCAACAUCGAAAGGAUACAAACACAAUGAGCACAGACCUAGCUUCUGCGUAGUUAGGAUGCACACAAUCAACACCAACACACGCAUAUAAAAAAUACGCCUGCAAAUAGCAAAGUCAUAUAAGACCAAAGCUAUGCUUAGGCGAAGAAAAAAAACUCAUAUCAAUCAGAUCCGAGAUAGGCAAACUACAAUAAUGACUAUAUCCACACCAACCAUCUCAUGACACCCCACAGACGAUGAUGUUCUUCAAUAGCAAUGCCUUCAGGAAGGGAGCGACGCUCAAGCGCCACCAUCACCAGAUCCAACCAUCCAAGGCCAGAAUCUAGGUUUUUACUCUAAAAAACCAGUCCGAGCAUAUCCGAGCAAUCCCUUCAACAAGGUAACGACAUAAAAAUAUUGCCAUUACCAGGAAUAACCAACACGGACGGACGUAGGCUUUCACCCCAGAACUCGAGACCGGGUGCUCAAGUAGCACCAUGAUUGACGUCACUUAUGUGUUGUCGCCACCAUUUUUCCACGAUCAUAGCAGCAACAUAUGAUGCGUACUGCAGCCGCUACACAACCAUCCCUCUGCGUCAAGCCAUCGUCCAUAGUUUGCAUCUCCCCACCAAAGUCAACAACCGGGUCUAGAGCGAGGAACCCUCACAAAGACCUUUGUGUGGCCACCACAAUCCACCCGAAGGACCAACACGGAUGGCGAAAACACCACCGUCGACUACCAACUCCACGGAGAGAGCUCUGCCCCAUGCCAGCCUGCCCAGGGGCCGACAUGGUCGAAGCUGGAGAACGAAAGGGAGAUCAACAUGGCCCCCGCUCAGGCUAGACGUGGCGAGCGGUCUUUGCGGCCGCUCAUGGCCCGUGAAGGACCGGACGGUACGGUCCCGGCCCGCUACAAAAAUCGACCAGUCCGAGCUGUGUAAUUAGGCCCGUUACAGCAUCCGGCUCGGUCCGCUCGGUCGGACGGAAACAUUUUUUUUUUUGCAUUUGCUGAAUCGCAUGUACAUGGCCCAGCCCAUCCUAGCCUCCUAGGGUCGAGUUUUUGACCUAGCCCGCACGCACUAACACAUCAGGCGCUUAAAAAAACGCACGCACGUACGCACCCGCGCCGCCGCCACCGUCGUCCAGCGCACAGCUCCUCGCCGACACGGCCAUCGGCCUCCCCGCAACUAAGCGCCAUGUCAAGAAGCUCCGCCAUCAUGAGAUCUCCUUCCCCACGCAGCGAAUCGGCCGGAUUCGCUCGAAAGCCGUCGCCAUCAUCCUCCUUCCCCGACUCCGGCCGCCGUCUUUCGUCGUCGAUUGCGUCGCCUUCGCUGCCUUCCAGGCCUCCCCGACGCCUCCGUUGGGUUCGCGGUGAGCCACCACCCCUUCCCCUCUGCUCCCCUUUCUGAUCAGAGCCCUGAGCCCUCUCUCGUCGCGCCAUGGUUACCACCUCGCCGCUGGAGGUGGUUGCUCGGUCCGUUGGUCCAGACCGAGCUUUUGGGUGUCCGGUGCGGUGCCCGAAAAGGGGACCUCCACGUGCUUCGGUCCGGUCCGCCGCCGGCCGGUCCUAACCUGGGUUCGGUCAGGGAUCGGACCGUGUCCACCCUGAGCCCCCGCGAAGUGUAGCCGCCACUAGAUCAGAAGCUCGCAUCCGCCAGAUCGGCGCCGCACUUCCCGAUCCAGGGCGACGAGCACCAAGGCAAACAGUGUGAUGAAUUCACCAAACAUUGCCUUGGAGCCACGCUGCGUGCAUACGAGGCCGUCCGCGCAUGAUCCGAGCAUCAGCGUCAGCCCUGAUCUACCCUACUCGCUGCUAACCACCACCAAGAGCAGUCACCGCACUGCCCCGCCUGUCGCUGAAGUGAGCAGCCCACCGUGCGCGGCGCUCGGAGGAGCCAUUAGCAACGAAGCUGCGAUGUUCUCCGGACAGCACUCGCGCACCACCACCAGCAGCCCGGCCAAGACGAAACCAGCCUGGCGGCUACCUCUGACGGUGGCGCGGGGAGGCCCAUGAUGCUAGCCUCCGCACCUCCGCCGGUAGCAGCCGAUGAUGCUAGCCCAUGUCCGCCUCAGGGGAGAACUAGCCCCACCACACCUUGGCCGGAGCCCUGCCAUUGAAGCUUGCAGCCGAGUCCUCCAAAACAGCUGACGCUACCGCCGCAGCCCGGGCUUUGCCCGGCGAUGCCUUCCGGCGGCGGCGAGGGGAGGCCCCCGGUGGCUGGAUUUGGGCGCCCCGGUGCAGCUGCGGGAGCAGCACGGGAGCGAGUUUUCGGUCCUGCAGUUUCAGUUUUUCUGAAACAGAAAUGGCGUAUUAAACAGAAAUCGAACAUCUGCUAGUUUCGGAUUGAAUUUGCUAGCUGGUUAGGGAGCUUCUUGACAUGAUCCCUGAUAUAUCAAUAGUUCACUGACAAUUCCAUGUUAAUUAAUUUUGUUUCCCUGUGUUAAUUAAUUUUGUUUCCCUGGUCAUAAUAUGUUUCCAUGUACUGUAUCUUCCGUCUAGGGAUGAGUCACUGAGGGAGCACCUAGAUUUUCUGGAGCAGCAAGGAAUAGCCGGCGUGAGCCAUCACAGCCUUCUGUUUUCGAAGACAGAAGUGCUGCCAACUUUGAAUGAGAAUGAUCAUGCACCGGCCAGGUCAGUAGUGUUUGUAACGCCCCAUUUUUGGAGUGUUAUUUUACUUUCUUCUUUUCCUCUUCAAAGAAAAGUUUUCAGGGCUAUUUUUGCCUUUCUAUUGUUUCUUUUAUUUUGUGUGAUAUUCUAAUUUAGUUCUUAUACGAACUCUUUUUGAUAAAGGACACUUUAUUACUUAAUGGUUUAAGCAUUAUACCUAGCCUCUACAAAACUGAGAUGCACACAACCAAACCAAGUCCAAGCUAAAAAAACAAAAACAAAGGCGAAAUACAAGAAAACAUGAGUCUGUAUGAUGCCUAAACUGAAGGAGGGCCAAUCGUAAGAUCAUGUUUCCAUCCAUGUUGGGUAAAACUAUCCCUUGCCGUUUGCUACAAGCAUGUACACGCCUAAACUGAAGGAUUGUCCACAUGUUGUAGAGACGACCAUAAACAGAGCGUACCGGUACAUCAGUAGAUAACCUGCAUAAGAGAACUUGUUUUUUUGUUGAAAAUCUUAUCAUUUACAUAUCCAAAGCGACCAAAUAACGACAAGCACUCCCAUCCUGAUAAGAAUUCUAAACUUGUGAUCGAUCCCAUGUAACGAGUUGUCAAAAAUGUUAGCAACACUACAUGGAGGAUACAUGCCAGAAGUUAUUUGGAUGAUUGAUCAUAUAGAACAAGCUAAUUUACAAUGGAAGAACAAGUGUUUUAUUGUUUCGUCGUGAUGACAAAAGACACAUUGCAUACUUCCAUGCUAAUUCCUCUUAAUAAGGUUAUCUUUAAUAAUAAUGACUCCUCGACGAAGAUACCACAUAAAGAUUUUAUUCUUAAGCGGUAUCUUCAUCUUCCAGAUCUUCUUCUUAUUAUUAUCAACUGACACAUCAGAUUGGAUCAACUCUCUAUACAUUGAAUCUACCGAGAAUUCACCACUCGUGUUUAGAUUCCACCGAAAUUCAUCGAUUCCACGUGAUAAAUGUACCAUCGCGAGGCGAUUUAUCAAAUCAUUCCAUGAUGCAAGUUUGGGGUCUAUUAAAUCUUAUCUGAACAUCACAUUCGGAGGAUUCCAGAACCAUGGCGAUAGUAUCACCCUUGUAUUGAACAAUAUUAUAUAGAGCUGGAUAUUGUUCCCGGAAAGUGAAAUUACUUAGCCACUUCUCCUCCCAGAAUCUAAUCUCCAUGCCAUUUUCACAGAGAAGGAUCCAUAGCAAAGAAAAUAUUUCUUCGUAGCCAUUAGACCAGCCCAUAGUGUGAGUCCCCAGGCUUCCAAUAUACUUGGGACACUGCUUUGAGCAUACAUGUUUUCUCCUUAGGAGGGUUUUCCAUACGUCAUCUUCCGUCAACAGCUUAAACAACCACGUACCGAGGAGGGCAUUAUUCUUAACCUCAACGUCAUGAAUACCCAGGUAUCCCAUAGGGAGGUUGAGUCUACUCCCCUGAUACAUGCAGACAUCGCCUUCCCCGCUCCCUUUCCCUCAACCUCCUAUGCUCACUAUGCCGUGAGACGAGUUCACCGUUCAUCUCGCUUCAGACUAUAUAAGGCGACUAUCGGGGGAAUUACCCACGGCUACACCCGGCAGUCCAAGACAUGACCUGGCUAGACUAGAAGGCCCAUGACCGGGUCAUCCAGGGCGCCAUAUGGGCAGGGUCUCCUUGGGCUAGGAGCCUGGAAGGAAUCCGGCUAGGAAGAUCAAGACCUGGCCUAUGAAGAGUGGACCCGACAAGACCCGGAGUCCCAACACCAGAAGGAGUCCACUUAACUUGCAAGACACAAAAGGUUUACAAGACUUAGAGUAGGACUCCAACUAUGUGUAGAACCCGAAAACCUAUUGUAAACCCCAAGGACCCGGCUAUUAUAUAAAGUGGGUUCCUGGGGCGUCCAAAGGACAGGUUGAGAGACAACCAAGGCUAGAAGUUCUCGAGUCAUUGGUAGCUAUCCGAGAUCAUCAUCAUCAAUAUCAAUCAAGCAGGAGUAGCCUUUUACCUCCCCCAUGAGGAGCCAAACCUAGGUAACCCGUGUCUCUCGUUUCCUGAUCAACCCCAUCCAAGUCAUCACCUAGCAGCGAUGGCCUCACAACUUAGUCCUAUCAUGACUCGGCCAGCACGUCAAACGACGACCCUCACCAUCACAUCUAUCUGCAGCAAAUCAACAUGGUGGAUAUAGAGGUGAGUGGCAGAAACUUAACUGACGGAUAGAUAGCAACGACUCUAAUAGAGAACUGUUCUAACUCAACAAACUUUGGAGGAAGGGGAGGCAUCUUAUCCCAACUCUUUCAGCCUGUAUGCGUGCCCCUGACCACACUGGAUGUGCGCUCCUCCUCACUGCUGGAUGGAUGUUCCUGGCAUGGUCUUCUGGCUUGUCGGAGCAACUAACCACCGGCGAGCACGGAUCUGGCAUGUACACCAUCAGGUCACAGCAGAGAGGCGACGGAAAGCAGGUAGCGUCGAUGAGCAGGAGGGUAGUGGAGAAGAGAAAGNNNNNNNNNNNNNNNNNNNNNNNNNNNNNNNNNNNNNNNNNNNNNNNNNNNNNNNNNNNNNNNNNNNNNNNNNNNNNNNNNNNNNNNNNNNNNNNNNNNNNNNNNNNNNNNNNNNNNNNNNNNNNNNNNNNNNNNNNNNNNNNNNNNNNNNNNNNNNNNNNNNNNNNNNNNNNNNNNNNNNNNNNNNNNNNNNNNNNNNNNNNNNNNNNNNNNNNNNNNNNNNNNNNNNNNNGGAGACGCGGCCCCUGCCGAGGCUUGCGGCAGCGAGAGGUUGCAGGGAGCAGAGGGCAGAGCACACUAUCGAGGAACAUGGAUCGAUGUGUCAGUGCAUUGGUGGAUGUUAAUCUUGUUUCCUUGAAGGUGAUGAAGAAAAGAGGCGGCGAGAUCUGUAUCAAUGGCUGCUGGCUGCCCGGUGCCCGCCACCGCUGCUCGUCAGGCAAACUCUUUGCCGCCGUCUGGUGGCGCCACACCAUCACGAACUCCCGCCGGCGUUGAACGGCACAACAGCAGGACAUGGACCUCGACGGUGCUGAGCGCUUCUUUGGAGGAUCCGUGGAUGUCGGCUUGUUCUUUCUAGUGAGAUAGAGGAGGAGAUAAGAACGUGUUGGUCAGCCCAUUAACAAAGAUGAACGUGUUUGAACUGGCAUGGAAUUCGGCCGAGGAAGGCGGCAGCGCUGCCGCCGGCGACGGGGGUGCGCCCACUCGUGCGUGGGGAGGGGAUGAAGGGGAUUGCAUGUGAUACAUUUUCUAAGGACCGCGGGUUGAAUAUACAAACUACAUGGAUUUCCAGAUCCACUUACAAAGGGACUACGGGUUGAUUACUAAAAACCACAGGGACCUUUAUGUAAAAAGGACGCGACGGUGAACCCGACAGACUCAAUCCGUGCUUUAUUAUUAGGUAAAGACUUCUCCGAUUCAUAAAUUGCUCAUUUAAACUCCUUUUUGAGUGAUUCUUUUUCUGUUAAUUUUUAUUUUUCAUGUACUUUAUAGUAGUAUUUAUUUUGUAUAUUUUCUGAGUACUUUUAUGUGCUGUUUUGGAUUUUAUGUGGUCCUUUACCUUUUUGCUUUAUAGAAAAAGGAGAAGGAAACCUUUUUGAAGAUUUUCCAGAGUCACCUUCUACUUCUUUUGAUCAAGGCAAGCAUGUUUUGAACAUUGGAUAUGGUGUUUGCAUAUGUGUUUGCUUUCCUAGGGUAGUAAGCAUGACUAGGGUACGUAUUUUCUGUUCUAAGCAUGACUAGGGUAUCUUCCAUGACAUGGCAUCAUUGCAUAUGAAUAUGAGUAGCCUGUGACCAUAUAAAUUUUAUGGUAAACUAUGUUGAUAUGCGUCUUCUCCUAUUAUGUACCAUAUUAUACUUGUGUGGGCUAACUUGCAAGUAUGUCUUUUGUUCAUAAAUUAUUACAAGUACAUUCAACGUACUCACCCAGCUUGUUGAUUUGGCCAGGUGCGGGUGUGGAUGAACCUUCGGAUGCUGGCUAGCGAGUCCGAUGUGUAGGAGUAUUCACAGUUAGUGGCUCCUGUGGCUUUGGAGUCUGCCUUGUUUCCCCUAUAUUGAGGCUUCCGAUAUGCAUUAGAUUAGUUAAGCUUAUGCCUUAAAAGCUUGACUUGUAUGCUAUGGCUUGGUGUGUAAACCCAACUAUACCACUGUCCCAUGUUCACCAGCUAUGUGUGUUGAUGUUGCUUUGUAAUAAUGUUGGGCCUUCCGCCUCAACCUUGUGUGUUAUUACCCUAAGUAUUGUAUUGUAUUUCUGCAUCAAGACUGUGCUUACUAGCUUAUUUAUAUCCUUGGCUAGUAAGGUUUGGGUGGCUUCUGGUUUUUCUAAUCCGGGCUUCAUAACACCGGUUGAUAUCAGCAUCUCUGUAGGUUCCCCAUAACUCCAAUCAACAUCAGGUGCAGAAAUCUGCCUUGUCAGCAGAUCCACUCUAUAUACUCCAGGUGUUUCACCUAACGCCCUAGCAAGCUCUACAACAUAUUUGACCUG